CAAUAAGCAGAAUUUAGAAGGGUAAAAUUGAGAGUUUUAAAUGGAAAAAUAUCAGAAUGUUCUAGUAUGGGACAGUUGUCCCCAUUCUUAGCAUGAAAAUGCUGAAAUUGGGUGGGAAAAAGGACGGACAACUAUUAAAAGAUGUUGUACUAUCUGACAUUUUAGGAAUUUAGGGCAGAAUAUGCCUUUUUAUUGCUGUUUUUAUACACUCUAUAAAAGAAAAAGAACUUUACUGAUUCUUGGACAGAUUUUGAUCAAUAUAUUCACUCUAAAGGGUCCUCUGAAUACAUAGAAAACUCAAGCAUCCUUCUUUUCUGGCAUUCAUAAUAGAAAACGCACAUAGAAUCCUUAAGAUACCUCAAAAAUGGAGUUUGAAUCUAGAGCUAUUUUUUGUUGUUAGUGUGUUUUGUUACUGCGGUUUUCUGGGUUGUUGAGCUCUAUUUCCUCAGGUUUUUAUGAAUUUUAUUUGGUCCGCAAUACUCUGAUUUCUGCUCUAGUUACUGGUGAAAACUAAGUUUCUAUUUUCUUUUCUCCAAAGUCAAAGGCAUAUUUCUUAAUAUCUGUUGUACCUGUGGCCAUUAAGGUAUUGAUUUCAUUCUCAUCAAAUGUAAUAGUUUUUAGAAUGCCAUAAAUAUCAUCAGAUUUGCAACUUUGGAUUGAUUACAUAUUUGUUAAAUGUUCUACCCAUUAAUCUGGUAAUCUAUGCGCUGUUUGAAUGUUUUCUACCAUGUCUACUGUCUAACAGAACAGAGUCUGAAAUUUCAACAUGUAACAGUAUUAUAACUAUGAGCUUGUUUGUUAAUGUUGUGUUAAUCAUGGAUUUUUGGUUGCAUUAGUUUGAGCACUUAAGGUGAAGUAACACUCAGAUUUCCAGUUUGAUUUAAAGUAUCAGAUGUGUUGAAUGUUUCAAAACUUUAUGGAGUAGGAAACAUUGCAUUAAAAUUAGUUCUUUCUUUUAGCCUUGGACUGUUAAAAUACAUUUGAAGUUCUAAAAAUUCCCUAAAUGUUUAAGAUUUAGAAGUUUUGGCAGCAUUCUCUUGUAUGUAAAGCCUUCCUCCUCUGGAAAUCACUUUGUCUUGGGUAUUGUUGGCAUUUGAUAAUGCAGGAGUUUGUGAGUGCUUGGCAUGAGGUCCAGAUUUACAAAUCUAGCCACUGGUUGGUUAGUCUUUUGUGAAUGAUAGGCAGCUUCAAAAACAUGUUGCUAAGUUGAUCACUAGGCGGAUUCAAAAUUAAUUUGAUUUCAGCCUAUACAGAUUACUUUUCUUAAUUUAGUUCAAGGUCUGUAAUUAUUUGUAGAAAUGCAAUGAAGCUAUUCAUUAUUGGUAGUGUAUAAUAUGUAUCCAUAUUUAGUUUAAAUUAUAGUUGUUUCAGCUUUUUUUUCUUUACAGCAGCCCAAAUGUUUCUUGAUUCAGAAUUUGAAACUGGGCCCAUUUCAUUUAAGCAUAUCUAGGACCAGUACAUAUUAACUUGAGAUUCUCCAGUUUAGGAUAUGUUGUGUGUUCCUGAAAUGUGACUUAAAUAACUAGUAUAGAGGUUUUGAAAAUCGCUAAUUUGUGCACAUCUAUAUUUGGCAAGGAUUUUGAGAUUCCAAUGUGGUGUUUGAACUCUUUCUAGCCUUUUAUACAAUACAAAUGAUUUUUAAGUUUAACAUUUUGUCAAAAGUAUGUUAAGUAAUUACUAGUUUCCUUUACACAAUGUUGGAUCCAAUCAAUCGUGGCAUGAUUUGUCAAAGUUUGUUCAUUAACUUGUAGUGAUAUCAUUGGAUCCAAGGGAAAACACAUUUAGAUCAUGUCCCCGCAUUAACAGAAUUCACACUUUACCCGACCCCAUUCUUUGACAUUCACUUGACUGCAAACCUUAGAAAAAAAUGAUCAUAUGAACACUCGUAGUUUGCUUUAGACACUUAAUUAAAUCAUCGCAACUACGGGUAUGGUUUUCGUGGCGUAGUUGUGAUAACUAAUUUCAAAUUAACUUUAAAUAUGAACAUUCGUAGUUCGCUUUAGUUGAGUAUAACCUUUUGAAAUAAAUUGAGGCGUGCCAUUCACAAAUGAAUCCCAUAAUCUAUGGCCCUCACAUUAAUAUUAAGAUUAGUGUGAAAAAUACUUGGAACAUUCAUAACUAGUAUAGAAAAUACUUUGAACAUUCGUAGUUUGCUUUAGGCACGUUUGUAAUAAAAUUAUCAUAGCUAUAGAUACGGUUCCCGUGACGUAAUUGUGAUACAUAAUUUUCAAAUUCGGGGGUACAUUUAUGUGACCUGGCCACAACUUCUAAUAACAUUAAUAAAUUAACCAUGUUGUAGAUCGUGGGCACGGUUCCCGUGACACGAUUCACAGUAUGUAUCAAAUAAACAAGUGUACGACAAUCAUAACUUGUUCAAGAAAUAAUUCCAUAAAUCCUAAAAAAUGGUUAAAAUAAUUAAAAGUGGUUAUAAAGUUAAAAAUGCACACUAGGUUCUAAACAUGUAGUAAAUAAGAUAAUUAGGCCAAUAUUAAUAGUUAAGUGACCGUGCUCGAACCAUGGAACCCGAGAAUGCCUAACACCUUCUCCCGGGUUAACAGAAUUCCUUACUUAGAAUUUCUGAUUUCGCAGACUUUUAAAUAAAGUCAAAAUUCUCCUCGAUUUGGGAUUUAAAAUAAACCAGUGACUUGGGACACCAAAUAAACUAUUCCAAGUGGCGACUCUGAAAUAAAUAAAAAAUAAUCCCAUUUCAAAUAAUGUCACUUUAAUUGGAAAAACUCCCUUAUAUCCCCUUUCGGUGGUAAAAAGAAGGUGUGACAGCUCUGGCGACUCUGCUGGCGAUAAGAACCCAAAAAUCUUUGGUUCAGGGUUCAUGAAUUCGAGCUUAGAANNNNNNNNNNNNNNNNNNNNNNNNNCGGCUGCGAAACCCUUCUCUUCUAAUCUUUUGGGAAGUGCACGCUGGCGUGACUGGUUCAGACAAGUUGCAAAGCCGGACUGAUCUUUUGGUUACCGGUACGCUGCACCCCCGGCACGAGUUGUCCGCUCGGGUAAGCUAGGUCUAGAACAAUACACCCAGGUUUUAAAUCCUAGAAUAAUAGAGCCUCAUGCCGUAUCCGUAGUAGGAACGCUUAUUUGCAUCAUGUGCAUUUGACUAUGGGGACUCAACACAGAGGUUGGGUCCGUCUAGGACAGGUGUACCCAAAAAUCAAAAGACCAUCCUGAUGCAUUUUUACGUGCUACUUGUAUAAUUAUUUGCUUCGGUUUGCAUGUUGAUCGGUUUCUAGAAUAGGGAGAAAAAUUAUAAAAAACAAAUUGAGGUAUGAGAGAGAUAACUACCUGUCCUUGAAAAAUCUGGUGCCUAAAAUACACCGAAACUCUGCCGAAAUUUUGAAAAAAAAAAGAGAAAAAAGGGAAAAUUGUUUCAAAAUGCUUCAUGUUUUCUGUUGCGUCAAAACUGACCGAACUACGCGGGUUUGAUUCUCACCAGGUAUGGGAUACGUAGGCAACCCUCAUUGGUCUAAAUAGCCGAAUGUCCCGACGGGACGCCGGAAGGCCGUUUUUGCAAGAAUAGACACCGACGGUUUCUUUGCCAAUUUUGGCCACCUAGCAAGCACAGCCCUAAAAUAUUCCCUUUUGAAGUGCUGAAGGGUCGUAUUUGCAAAAGUAGCUGUGUUUAUUUGCAUUUUGCAAAAUGACCCCUUUUUAUCAGUUUUAAUAAAAUUCACUGUGUUUUAAACCAAUCACCUUAAUCUAAAUGUGAAGAAUGAGCACGAGUCAAAAUUUAUCAAUGAAGGUUAUGACCAAGAUUCUCUUGGAACUACACAUGUGGUGGGAAGAUUUGGGUAAGCCGGGGCGACACAGUUCAACCACUACCUGGGGAAGCUCACCGGAUUACUAAAGAUCAGGCCUAGGAGAGACAUAAUAAAAGCACUGGUGACAUUUUGGGACCCAGCUCACAACGUUCUGCAUUUCUCGUACUUCGAACUCACACCUACUUUGGAGGAGAUAACGGUUAUGCUGGGAGUACCAAGGGUCUAAGACAUAAAUACUUGGUUGCUCCAAGGGUCGUCACCCCUUACAAGUUUCUGGAUUUGCUAAAAAUAAGCAGGCAGGUCCAGUAUACAGAUUUGGCGGGUGGGUUUUCCUCUCUACACUUCAUAUAACAGCGAUACGGGCAUGUAAGAGGAUUUGACAACCCGGAAAGUGGAAUCUGUAGCAAAGGGAAUUGAUCAAAGUGAGAAGAGCAUAGAUGCUUCGCUUUCAUGGUGGCAUUCUUAGGUCUUCUAGUGUUUCCCAGGAAGGACGGGAAUAUUGAUCUACGGGUAGCUGGAGUCAUCAAAGUUUUGAUUACCAAUGCUAAGAGCACCCUCGUUCCUAUGAUAGUAUAUGAGAUAUUCCGAGCUCUCACGGCAUGCAAAGCCGGAGCAGAUUCUUUCGAAGGGUGAAAUUUGUUACUACAAAUGUGGAUAAUUGAGCACCUGUGUUAUUUUCCUCGAUAUAUGAAGUACGGAUCUAUAGGGAAAAGCUGCAUUGAAGAUUUUGGCAUAAGGGUCUCAGGGUUCAAAAUGCCAGAAGGGGUCGGGGAUUGGAUAUCUUGCCUUCGUUCCAUAGCUGCAGGGCAGAUAGAGUGGACACUAAGUUUGCUUCCUGUUGAAUAAAUUGUGUACAUGCCUGCCACCGGUCCUUACUUCCUCCUAAUGGGCCUUCAGGGCAUCCAGCCUUAUGCCCCAGACUGGGUGUUGAGAUAAUUGGGAAGAUCCCAGAUAGUUCCCUAGGAUGAAAAUCUUAGUGUUCAUGCAGUUGAAAUCCGUAUGGAUGGCCAAUUUCAUGAAGAAGUGGUUCGCCACAUUUGGAACAAGUGCCAAUAUUUGACAGCGAACACCCGAGUACAUGAAUUGUCCAGGGGCGAGGUCUUGCCUGGUUAUCUUGCUUGGUAUAGAAAGAAAAUCACUGCAAGGGAUGAACCUGAAAGGCUAACCAAAAGGCCUCCCAUCCAAGAAUUUGUUGAAGCGUCGCAGGAACAAUGGGCUUGGUUGACCAAGAAAAAUGAAUACAUGGCCACCAUAAGCAAGUUGGAAAAGCAAGUCAGAGAUCUUAAAUUUGAUAGUGGCUUGCAAGCCGUUGCAGAUGAGGGUGAAAAGAAAAGAUUGGUGCAAGAAAAUGAAGCCCUCCAAGCCCAAAUCCAGAAAGUGAAGGUAGCUGCUGAAAACCCGAGAAGGAGCCAAACAAAUGUAAGACUUAUAAACGGUCUUAGGCGGAAAGUAUGUGAGUAUGGGGCUGAUUUGGAAAAGUUCGAAGGUAGUCUGGCAAGAUCCCAGGCAAAGUUGGCGAAGAACGCUGAAGGACGGGCAGAGUUUGUUCAGCAAUUAAAAGAAAAAUAUGAUAGAGAGGUCGCAAAUCUAAAGAAAAAGCUAGCUACCCUCGAGAGUGAAAUGGCUAAACAGACAAAGAACUUUAAGGCAGAGAUGGAAUAUUGUUAUGCAUUGAUGUCUCGACUGGAAGAGGACCUACAACUAUUGCAGGAGCAAAGCCAUCAUGACACCCAAGUUCCGAAAGCUAGAUCUCGACAAAUUGGGCGCCUGCUCCAAGAUAAAGGCAUCAUUAGAGAGAAGAUUAGAGGAAUUGCUGACUAUAUCGUCAUGAAAUGCCACGAGUAUGAGGAUAUAACUAGAUACACUUUCUUCGCCGUAAUGAUGACUUUUGUUCGGCAGAUAAUGGAUGACCUGGAUCGCCUCCAAGGAGAUCUUGCACGUAGGCCCGCAUCGAGACCGACUGAUGUCCUGCGGGCCCCUAGAGUAGUUUUGGAGGCACUUAUGUAUUCUUGAUUUUUCUUUUCGAGUCUGUAUUUCAACUUUUUUAGAAUCUUUUAGUCUACUUUGAGUAUGUUUUUAUUUUUUUCAGUCCUUAAGUCAAUAUGAUGGAGUCGUUGUAAUAGAGAAAAUUAGAAGUUUUUAGUUUAAUGAAAAAAUUGAAAAAAACCCAAAAAUUGUUUCUUUCUUUCAUUUUGCAUUUAUCCCAUGAACUACAUAAUGAUCUGAUUCACGCGGCGUUGUGAUACGUAGACAAUCCCCAUCAGAUCCGGUCAUAGCUAUAGAUAACUCGAAUAAGAGAGAAAAUGAUGAAAAGAGGACACAAGAAAAGAGAGAAAACAAGAAUAAGAGAGAAAACAAGAAUAAGAGAGAAAACAAUGCAAAAGAGAGAGUGCAAAGAAAGGAGAGCAAAUAAUGAAAAGCCCAAAAGAAAAGAAAAGAUUCAAGGAUCUGGGAGGUCACAAAAGCUGGGAUAAGACAUGCAACUAUUGCAAAAUAUAUAGAAAAACAUUUAACUGUCUAGGUGCAUUGCAUUCCCCAACGUGUGAUUCCCUAUGUGUUAAUUGUCUCAAACUAACUGGUUUGUUGUGUAUGCUGUUGAGAAUAGAUUUUGUUUUUAGGUGGUUGGUUUUGUGGUAAUCUGGCUUCGCACCCUUACUUUACAAGGUCCAAAGGAAGUGUCGAAAUGAUGUCAGAGAGUCAGCUACCAACAAUUACCCCCUCAGAGGAUAGCCCGUUGUCGGUUAUCCCGACGUCAGAGUCAACAACUGCUGAAGAAAAUAGGACACUACGCCUCUGCAUGUUGGAAAUGUGGGACUCUUGGUCUAACGGUAGAGAUCUGCCUAGAGCAAUACCUAGUUUUCAUGAGCUGAUUCCCAGAACAAGUGGAACCUCCAACAUCCAUGUAAACUACCCGACCACCCCAUUCGGAUACCCCACGAUGUCAGCCCAUUUAGCCAGAACGCCUUCUGAGGUUCGCCCCCGGGCAUCGAUUUCUAGAGUAUAAUCUAACAUAUUCACCGCACCACCAACCUUGACUACGGCACAACCAACAUUGCCCAAGCUAAGUUUUGAGCCCUCAUCCUAUACUUCCCAAAUACCACCAUUUCAAUCGGACAUGGAUCAUGUCACCCCAAACUCUUACCCUCAACCACCUUAGUAUGAGUUUACCAUGGGACAAGAGAGAACUGUAAAGAAUCCCGAGCAAGAAGAGAUCACUCGAAAAAUGAAAAGCAUAGAACAAAGUCUUAAGAGCAUACAAGGCUUGAGUGGCCAGAAGAGUGUCUCCUAUGCUGACUUGUGCAUGUUCCCUCAUGUUCACCGGCCACUCGGUUUCAAGACUCCCAAAUUUGAAAAGUAUGACGGAUAUGGAGACCCCAUAGAGCACAUGAAAAGAUAUUGCAAUUAGUUAAGAGGAGCGGGCAUAAAAGAAGAACUCUUGAUGGAUUACUUUGGGGAGAGUUUAGCCGGAAUUGCAUCUGAAUGGUAUAUGGACCAAGACAUCUCCCGCUGGCACAUAUGGGAUGACUUGGCUCGAGACUUUGUCAGAUAGUUCCAGUACAACAUGGACAUAGCUCUAGAUCAAAACAUUUUGUCCAAUUUCAAAAAGAAGUCUUCAGAUAGGUUCCAGGAGUAUGCCAUCAAGUGGCGUGAACAAGCCGCCAAGGUGAAACCCCCAAUGGAUGAGACCGAGAUGGUCAGUGUCUUCUUGCAAGCCCAAGAGACUGACUACUUCUAGAACAUGAUGUCCGCUAUGGGCAAGCCAUUUGCAGAAGCCAUAAAGAUUGGGGAAAUGGUGGAGAAUGGUUUGAAAACGGGUUACAUUCUGAGCCAAUAGGCUAUAAGAGCCACCUCUCAGGCAAUCCAGAGCGGGUCGAGGGCUGCAGCAAACCAAAAACAGAAAAAAAGUGGCAAUGAUGUCCUGAAGUCUGAGAAACCCCCAUCAACCCCGAGGUUACUUUGGUUCCUCUUCCAUCACCUUGCAAUAUUACUACCCUUACCAAGAUGUGGCAUACGCCAUGACUCCCCAGCCUUAUGCAGUGAUGAACGCCUAGCCAUACGCUCAGCCGCAACAACAGUAUAACCAGAACCGAGCUCCACCUCCCAGAAAUAACCCUCCUCACCAAGCUCCAUAUAAUCCCCGUCCACCACAGAAUAAUUUUCCUUAUAACGCCAGUGCAUAUGGACCACCAGAAAAACCAACUUCAUACCAAUCGGUGGAUCAUAUUCCAGCCUCUUCCCAAAGUUGGUCCAAAUGGGUUUGUUGCAACCCGUACCUCCAAACAGGCAAAACCUAAAGUCACCCUCCUACCGACUCGGUACCCGAUGUGCUUAUCAUUCAAUGGAAAAAGGGCACGACACUGAGGAUUGCUGGACACUUAAAAGGGCGAUCGAAAAUCUAAUAGAGCAAAAACGGGUAGUGUUGAGGGAUGAGGAGGUCCCCAAUGUAACUAAUAACCCAUUGCCGGCUCAUGACAACGGGCAAGUCAUUGGGAUGAUUUAUGAGGAUAGAGAUUUCGACCCAGCUUUGAAAGCUAUCAUUGUCAUUGCUGAUGUUUAAAAGAAGAACAGAGCGGCAACAAAGCAAGCUAAGGAUGAGAAGAAAAUCAAUUCCACUCCUCAAAGUGUAGAAAAGACUGUGGAAUCCAAGAUAGGGGCAGUGCCUCCUAAAGUUGUCGUUCUCUAUGUUCCUAGGGCCCCUAGAAAAGAACAGUUUGUGUUGAGUCCGCCCAAAAGGUUUGAGCAAAACAAGGUCUCGCUUAAGGUACCAAAGAUGUACGUACAAAAAGGGACUUAUGUGGUGUGGGGGCCGGUAAUUUCACCCAGGCUGACUGAGCUUGUGGUUAUCAGCCGCGCACCAUAGAAUCCCAUAAAGGAACCCACUGCCGUCCCCUGGAACUACAACAAAGCAGUGGUGACGUACAAAGGAAAAGAAAUCAUAGGGGAAGUGAAUGAAACGAACCCAUAUGGAAAGUACCUCAACCUGGAAGAAUUGAACAAGAUCAAACAGAAGCGUUUUCCGCUUAAGAAGCUAGUAAGUGCUGAAGAGGUAGAGGAAUUCUUCCGAAAGAUGAAAACCUCGGACUACAUCGUGAUUGAUCAACUCAGAAAGUCCCCCUCUCAGGUCUCACUUUUGUCCCUGCUGAUAAGCUCGAAUGAGCAUCAAAAAGUGCUGUUAAAGACGCUCAAUGAAGUAUAUGUUGCGGUCGAGACCACAGUUGAGCAAUUGGAAAGAAUAGCGGAAUGAUUUUUUGAAGUCAACCGGAUCUCCUUCAGUCUAAAUGACUUGCCACCAGAAGGGGAUGCCCACAACAAAGCUCUUCAUUUGACCGUUAAAUGUGAAGGAUACUACGUGAAAAAAGUUAUGUUGGAUGGCGGAUAUGGGGUUUACAUAUGCCCUCUCCCGACCCUACAGAGAAUGGAAAUUUGGACGGGAAAGAUUAGACCCAACAAUGUUGGCGUACAUGCUUUUGAUGGAAUCAAAAGAUAUACGAUCGAGGAGAUUGAUUUGAUCUUAACCAUCGGCCUUGUGGAUUUUGAAGUAACAUUCAGGUUUUGGACAUGGACAUCUCCUACAAUUUUCUCCUAGGAAGGCCUUGGAUCCAUGCGGCAGGGGCCGUACCCUCUACUCUCCACCAAAUGGUUAAGUUUGAACAUGGAAACCAGGAAAUAGUGGUCCACGGAGAAGAUGAACAAUCAAUUUAUAGGGACCCGUUAGUACUAUGUCUGGAGGCUAGAGAAGGUACCGAGCACAUAGUCUACCAAGAUUUUGAGAUCGUGGUCGCAGACUAGUGUGAGGAAGGAACCCCAUGUCCUCAACCCUUCUUAUCAAACACAUCAAUCAUGAUCACUAGUGCGAUGAUCAAGCAUGGCUACAAGCCUGGGAAAGGGCUUGGGGCAUCUUUGCAAGGCAUUACAGAGCCCAUCACUUUGACUACCAGUGAAAACUUCUUUGGUGUCGUCUUCCGAGCUACAGAAGCUAACGUAAAAUGGGCUAAUAAACGUAAUAACGAUGGGGGGGUUCUGCCUCAGCUGGUUUCGCAUCUCGCCAGAAUGUUUGUUAAGCCAAGGUACAUAGAAGAAGAAGAAGAAGAGGCCUUCACGACCGAAGAAAUUGAAGACAUAUGUGAAGCAAUGCGGCAAAUGUUAUAUGAGGCUCACAUGGUCCAGCCGGGUGAAGGCUCAAGCACUGUUGAGGUGCAAUAUAUGGGGCCAUGUGCCAAACUUCAAAAUUGGAAGGCUACUUCAUUCCCAGUUAGGCGGGAAGUCCGGUAGUUCAGUCUUGCCAUCUUUUCUACAUUCUGAGUUAUUUCAAGGUGUAACUCAAAUGUGUUUAGUUUAUUGUCUUUUAAAUUCCAAUGUAAACCCUUCUAUCUUCAUUCAAUGAAAUGAAAUCAAUAUUUCAUCGUCUAUGAAUCUCUCUCUGUAUUCUUUCUGAUUUUUGUUAUCUUUUCUUAUCUCUCUUUUUUAGUUCUAAUAAUGCGGACUUAAAUAACAUGACAUGUUUGCGGACUUCAUGCCCAGAUCCUAACACACUGUCUAACUGUGAAAUAAUGAAUCAAGAACUAGAAUAUGAUGGAGAUGAGGCUUUUAGGGAAAUAAAUCAAGAAAUAGAAAAAUUUGAGAAUAAACCUAAGCAGAACUUAAAUGAAACUGAGCCAAUUAACUUGGGUAGUCAGAAGAGGUCUAGGAAACCAUGAUAAGUAUUUACACUAAUGAAAGAACUAGGGAUGCAUAUAUCCAACUUUUGUUCGAAUUCAAAGACGUGUUUGCCUGGUCCUAUGAUUUUAUGCCAGGACUGAGUGUUGAUUUAGUAGUGCAUAAAUUGCCAACUUACCCCAGUUAUCCCCCUGUCCAACAAAAAUAGAGAAAGUUUAAAACAUACAUCAGUGACUAAAUCAAAGAGGAAGUCACCAAACAGUUGAAAGCGGAUGUGAUCCGAGUAGUUCGAUAUACCAAAUGGUUGGCUAAUAUGGUCCCAGUGCCAAAAAAAGAUGGGAAAACUCGAGUGUGUGUUGAUUAUCGGGAUUUGAACAAAGCAAGCCCCAAGGAAAACUUUCCAUUGACAAACAUCCACAUCCUUGUUGACAACUGUGCCAAACAUGAAAUACAGUCCUUCAUGGAUUGUUAUGCUAGGAAUCAUCAGGUUCUGAUGGAUGAGGAAGACGCAGAAAAGACAGCUUUCACCACACCUUGGGGUACUUACUGCUACAGAGUCAUGCCAUUUGGUUUGAAGAAUGUCGGGGCAACUUACAUGAGAGCUAUGACUGCCAUCUUUCACGACAUGAUGCACCAGGAAAUUGAGGUGUAUGUGGAUGAUGUAAUUAUUAAAUCUAGAACACAGGACGACCAUGUACGAGAUUUGAGAAAGUUCUUUGAGUGCCUGUGUAAGUAUGACUUGAAAUUAAAUCCAGCUAAAUGCGCAUUCGGAGUUCUAUUUGGAAAGUUGUUGGGGUUUAUAGUCAGUCGGAGGGGCAUCGAGCUAGAUCCAACAAAGAUAAAGUCCAUUCGGGAAUUGCCCCCUCCAAGAACUAAGAAAGAGAUUAUGAGUCUGCUGGGCAGGUUGAAUUACAUCAACAGGUUCACUGCUCAGUUGACUUCCACACGUGAGCCCAUAUUUAAGCUGUUGAAGAAAGAUGCGGCGAUUAGAUGGACAGAUGAGUGUCGGAAAGCUUUCGACAAAAUCAAAGAAUAUCUGUCGACACCUGGGUUGGUCCCACCCGAGCAUGGAAAACUUUUGUUCCUGUACUUGACAGUGUUGGAGAAUUCUUUUGGAUGUGUUCUCGGGCAACAUGAUGUGACCGGAAAGAAAGAACAAGCCAUAUACUAUUUGAGAAAGAAGUUCACUAGUUAUGAAGCCAAGUACACUUUGUUGGAAAGAACUUGUUGCGCCCUAACUUGGGUUGCCCAGAAGCUUAAGCAUUACUCGUUGGCCUACACCACUUAUCUCAUCACCAGAUUGGAUCCUUUGAAGUACAUAUUCCAAAAGCUGAUGCCCACAGGAAGGUUAGCGAAAUGGCAAAUCCUUCUCACCUAGUUUGACAUAGUCUAUGUCACCCGCACGACAAUAAAAGCUCAAGCCUUGGCGGAUCACCUAGAUGAAAAUACUGUUGAUGAUGAAUAUCAUCCUUUUAGUACUUACUUUUCGAAUGAGGAAGUAAAUUUCGUUGAGGCAAUUCUAGAAGACACCAAUGCUUGGAAAAUGUUCUUUGAUGGAGCUAUGAAUGCAAAAGGUGUCGGGAUUGGGGCAAUUUUGAUUUUGCCCACUGAUCAGCACUAUUCGGCUACAACCCGGCUUUGAUUUUUCUGUACGAACAACUCUGCCGAGUAUGAAGCUUGCAUUAUGGGCAUGAACAUGGAAAUCCAUUAGGAUGUGGAAGAAUUGUUAAUCACGGGAGAUUCCGACUUGAUUAUUCGACAAGCUCAAGGUGAAUGGGAAACUCGGGAUAUCAAGCUUAUUCCGUAUAUGCAACAUGUGGAAGAUCUUAGCAAGCGGUUCAAAUCCAUCGAGUUCAGGUACAUUCCUCAGUUUCAAAAUGAGUUAGCCGAUGCACUAGCUACUUUGGCCUCGAUGCUGCCAUAUCCAGGUAAUGUCCACAUCGGCCCACUGGAAACCCAAAUUCGAGAAAGACAUGGUUACUACAAUGCAGUUGAGAUAGAUCCAGAUGUUUAAACAUGGUAUCAUAAUAUCAAAAGAUUCUUGAAAAUAAAGGAAUAUCCCUAGCAAGCCAGUGGAGAUCAAAAGAGAACCAUUAGAAGGCUCGCCAGUAGUUUCUUCUUGAGUAGAGAAGUCUUGCAUAAAAGGACUCCAGACCUGAACCUUUUAAGAUGCGUGGAUGACCAAGAGGCUGGAAGAAUCAUGAAUGAAGUGCACCUAGGAGUCUGUGGACCCCAUAUGAACGGAUACGUCCUCACAAAGAAAAUCCUCGGGCAGGUUAUUACUGGAUGACUACGGAAAAGGAUUGUUUCAGUUUUGUCCGAAAGUGUCAUCAGUGUCAGGUAAACGGUGACCUGAUUCAUGCAUCGCCUUCAGAAUUACAUCCUAUGUCAGCACCGUGGCCAUUUGUUGCUUGGGGUAUGGAUGUCAUUGGGCCAAUUGAACCAAAAGCUUCAAACGGGCACAGAUUCAUCUUAGUUGCCAUUGACUAUUUCACAAAGUGAGUUGAAGCAGUCACUCUCAAAGCCGUCACCAAGAAAGCAGUGGUGGACUUCGUGCAUUACAACAUUAUCUAUCGUUUUGGUAAUCUUAAAACUAUCAUUACGGACAAUGCUGCAAAUUUCAACAGUCAUUUGAUGAGGGAGGUAUGCGAACAAUUUAAGAUCACGCAUCAGAAUUCUACCCCUUAUCGGCCUAAAUCUAAUAGUGUUGUUAAAGCAGCGAACAAAAACAUCAAGAAGAUCCUCAGGAAAAUGAUUCAAAGUUCUAGACAAUCGCAUGAAAAGUUACCUUUUGCAUUGUUGGGAUAUCGCACCACUGUGCGCACAUCCGUUGGGGCAACACCCUAUCUAUUGGUUUAUGGCACUAAAGCCGUAAUACCCGCAGAAGUUGAAAUUCCGUCUCUUCGAAUCAUCGUUGAAGCUGAGAUUGAGGACAAUAAAUGGGUCAAGACCCGUCUAGAAUAGUUAACCCUGAUUGAUGAAAAGCGGAUGGCCGCAUUUUGCCACUGGUAGUUGUAUCAAUAAAGAAUGGCCCGCGCCUACAACAAGAAAGUGCGGCCCAAAAACUUUGAAGUGGGGCAACUCGUCUUGAGACGUAUUCUCCCGCACAAUAUGAAAGCAAAAGGCAAAUUUGCUCCAAAUUGGAAAGGUCCAUACAUUAUAAGAAAAUUGUUGCCAAAAAGGGCGUUGUACUUAGGAGACAUUGAAGGAAAUGACCCCGAAGCAGCUGUCAAUGCGGACACGGUCAAAAGGUAUUACGUUUAACCCUUCUACGAUGCAGAUAUUCUCCGACUGGGAUGACGAAGGCUUUCAUUCUCACUACCCAAACACGUUUAACCCUUUGACAACCCUUUGAGCCAUUUAUCUUUCUUUGAUUACCCUCUUUGGAACCCGAAAGUGUAAAAAGAGAGAGAGAGAGAGAGAGAGAGAGAGAGAAAGAGAAAAAGAAGAAACAAACAAACAACAAAACAAAAGAAAUCAAAACAAAAACAAAGUUUCCUGAACUACGUUCGACUUGAUUCCGAAAGGAUAUGUAGGCAGCCUCUCUCUAGGGUUCAGUCACACCAAAACAAAAACCCAUGUUUCCCCAAAAGUUGAAACUAGGGCAGAAUUUAUAACGGUUCAACGACGGUUCACUUGAAAUGUUCCAAAAUUGUAAUUCAAUCCAAACUCUUUUUACCCUAAAUCCUGUUCAAAGUCCUUCUGAUCAAUCGGUAAAGAUGUUCAAAAGGGGAGGAUGUUGGUUACUUGGAUCUAAUACAAUCAAAUGAGAGAAAUAAAAUGAGAGAGUCUUCUUAGUAAAAAUCACACGGGCACUGUAAGGCGAUGAUGAGCUGAGAAAUUGAAAAUGAGAGAGUCUUGUUAGUGAAAACUCACAAAGAGCACUAUAAGGCGACGAUGAGAAGAUAAAUAAGAGAGGUCGAUUAGUGAAAACCCACAAAGGGCACCACUGAUCGAAAAAGGAAUCCCUUACAACCAUCGACACCGAUAGAGUCCUGGCAAGGUUUCUCGGUUUUGAGGUAUGAGUUAUGAUGGUUUUAUGAGAGUUGGAUGGUUUGCACAGAUCGGGCAUCCAGUCCAAGAAGCAUGUCAUGUCUAUUGAAGUCUACAUGCACUCCAUAUAAGUCCUUCUUUCCUUUAUUCGAAAUGGACACUUCUCGUUUAAAUUCAUUAUCUUGUCCGUUGUUUACUUUUCUUUGAAUCCCUUUUGGUCUAAUUCCUCCCCGAAACUAAUACAAAGAAGAGAUGGCAAGAUUGGUUUUACAGGGUUUUUGUUGACAAAAGCUAAAAUUCAAGAAAAGCACCCAACCUCAGUAGGUGCAUCAAGUCGACCUCGACUGGCCAUGAUGGCCGAUACUCCAGAGUCAAAAACUCUUGAAAAUAAAGGAAAUCAAAGUCAGGUGACCAUAAAGGCAAAAUAAGAUGGAAAAAGCCAAGCCCCAUACGGGUCAAUCAUCAUGUGGAAUUUAGGAAAAGUCAAGAUUCCCAGGUUUUAGAAACGAAACUAAUUUCCAGAGAGCCAGCAAACAAUGGAGAUUUUACUGAAAGAGUUGGGCCCAGAUAAAGUGAUUGAAAUAAGCAAGGCCACAAAACCAACCACCGUUUCAAACUGACAAAUCAUUCUUUCAUUGGAAAACAGGAAAAUAGGUGCAAUCCAAAACAACCUCGCAAGAAGCAGGUGCAAUAAAAGCAAGGUACGCAGAAACCAAAAUGGUUCUGCAGCAAAAGUUAGAUAAAAAAAAAGAGAAGUCCCUUUCAAACUCUUCAUUCAUUCUCCUAAAUAAAAUUCUAGAGUGAAAUAAAAAGAAAGAAGAAGAAAAGUUCAAAAUCAUGGUAGCAUAGGGUCUCCAAUCUCUAGCUAUGUUUUUCCCAACAUAGGGUCCCAUUCCCUAGUCGAUGCUAGCAUAACCUGGUAAUCUUUCCAACAUAGAGUCUCACCCCCUAGAUAUUUCCGGCAUAACCCGAUGACAUUCCCGGCAUAACCCAAGGACCUUUCUAGCAUAACCCGAUGACUUUUCCGGCAUAACCCGAGGACCUUUCGGGCUUAACCCGAUGACUUUCCCGGCAUAACCCGAGGACCUUUCGGGCAUAGGCCGAUGACUAUCCCAGCAUAACCCGAGGACCUUUUCGGGCAUACCCGAUGACUUUCCCAACAUAACCUGAGGACCUUUUCCAGCAUAACCCGAUGACUUUUCCGGCAUAACCCGAGGACCUUUUCCAGCAUAACCCGAUGACUUCCCCGGCAUAACCCAAAGACCUUUCCGGCAUAACCCGAUGACUUUCCCGGCAUAACCCGAGGACCUUUUCCGAAAUAACUUGAUGACUUUCCCAGUAUAAUCGAGGACCUUUUCUGGCAUAACCCGAUGACAUUUUCCGGCAUAACCCGAUGACAUUCCCGGCAUAACUCGAGGACCCUUUCCGACACCCGAUGACUUUUACGGCAUAACCCGAGGACAUUUUUCGGCAUAACCCGAUGACUUUCCCUGAGGACCUUUUUCGGAAUAACCCGAUGACUUUCCCGGCAUAACCGAAGACCCUUUUCGACACCCGAUGACUUUUCCGGCAUAACCCGAGGACCUUUACCAGCAUAACCCGAUGACUUUCCCGGCAUAACCUGAGGACCUUUCUGGCAUAACCCGAUGACUUUUCCGGCAUAACCCAAGGACUUCCCCGACAUAACCCGAUGACUCUGCCAGCAUAACCUAGUAGUCUUUUCCAGUAUAGGGCUCCCUCCCUAGAUGAUGCCAGCAUAACCUGGUAAUUUUUCUAACUGACGGCCUCCGAUCCCCAUAUGAUUUCAUUUUAGAUAUAGGGUCUUCACUCCAUAAUCUUUUUUUUCAAGGAUACACAAUCCUGAUUUUAUUGUUUUCAAUAAAGAAGUAGUUUAUUUUGUUACAAUAACUCACAAAAUUUUCCUAGUGAAAACUGGGUAAGAAAAAUUUCGUUCGUUUGUUCAUUAUGGUGUCUAAACAGGUUUUACCAUGAGGCACGAGGUUUGAGAUGACCAAAAAAAGAAGUCUCAAUCCGAAUAAAAGAAGAUAAAAACAAGAAAAGAAGUUGAACUUUAAGUGUAGAAGCGGAGAAAAGAUACGGACUGCUCAAGAUAUGAUUGAAGUCACAAGCUUUGCAUGUCCCGCCUUGAUCCGAAAAGCUGAAGAAGAAUGAACCAGCGGUUUGCAGCUAACGAGCAUCAAGAUUCAGAUCAGAGUCUGUAGGAAGAACCAGCCCAAGACUCAAGAUCCAGUUUUAGCAGGUUUAUAGAUAGGAAUCUUGUAACUCGUAGUUGAUACGCUUAGCUAGUUUUGUCUUUUAAUUUUUCACUUUGGUGUAAUAAGGAGCUCAGCAAGCAGAAACAGACGCAACAGUAGUGAAAUCACAGUUUCUCGGUAGUCCCAGCUACCAAAACUUCCUGAACUACAUUGACCUGAAUCCUUCAUAGCCAAGGAUAUGUAGGCAACCUUCGAAGUAAGGUUCGGUCAGACUUUUUCCAAAAAUAAAAUGCUUCCUAUGGAGUUUCAAACGGGCAAAAAUCGCUCGUAGUUGCUCAUCUUAUCUUUGCCCGAAAACUCUUCGUGUUUCCGAGAAAAGAGGGGCAGCUGUGAGCAUGUGAUUUUUGCCCUAUUCAAAAUACUCCUACAAAAUUAAAGGAAUAGAUUUUUUCCCAAUUGUUUGCAAUUUUAUAGGUUUUUUGUAGAAUUUUAUUAAUUGUUUGCAUUUUUGUGCAUGUUUAAUUUUUAUUAAAAUCAUGAAAAUGCCCCAAAAAUGUCAAAAACAUCAUGAAUUAUUUAUUAGACUUUGUGUUCAUAUUUUAGGAUUAAUUAAUUAAUUAAUUACUUUAUCAAAAUGAAAAAAUCACAAAAUUGUGCUCAUUUUUACCUUUUUAGCUUUCAAUUUUAGAUUGGUAAUUUCCUCUUCAUUAAUUUAGGAUUAACUAAUUUUUGUAAAUAUUAUAAAUAUAUAAUUAGUUUAAUUUUAUAAAUUAGAUUAAUUUAGGAUUUUAAUUAAUUAAAGAAAGGAAAAAGAAAAUAAAGAGAAAAAGAAACUAGAAAAGGUUUAAUUUGGUCUUGAAAUAAGGCCAAAUUUUGUACCCAAAUCCAUCCAAACCCAAGCCCAAAGACCAGCAUACCCGGUCCAGUGCCCUAGCCCCAAAACGACCUCGUUUUUACGUUCUUUCAUCAUAGCCGUUGGAUUCUUUUGAUCCAACAGCUCGAAACUUAAUCCCAUUUUUACAUAUAACUGUCCUAAACUAGAGACCCCCCAUCGACCCUCUCUCAUUCUAUCUCUAUAUACUCUCAAAAGAAACCUUAGCCGCCCUAGGAUUCCCUCGCCGGCUCCGCCUCUCUCCGCCGCCCGGAAAUCGCCUUAUGGCGGCGGAGCUUCUCCAAACUACUCCAAAUUAACACCCGACAAUCACCUUUCCCUCCCCCUUUAAAAGUGUCUGAACGAGACAUACCCCCAAACCCCUAAACUCCUUCAGUCUCUCAUCUUCUACGUCUCCAAAGAACCCUAGCCGUCGGAAAUUGUCUUCCGGCGCCGCCGCCCUAAACCACUGCCCUAGAUACCUCCAAAUGAGCCCAAAUCUUCGCCAGAUAGUCCACGUACCCUCCUCUUUCCAAGACCCCUAACAUCAUCUAUCAAAUCUUUAUAGGUUGCUCCGAUUUUCAGAUCUAAAAUUCUCAAAAAACAGUAUUCUGCCUCCUUUCUUCUUUUUCUUCGAUAUUGUUUGUUCAAGCCGACUCAUUUAUGUAAAGCUAGUUCCCUUGGCAAGAGAAAUAGAUCAACGUUGGUGUUGGUUCUUUUCAAGCCGCCGGAAUUCGGUCAGUCACCUUACCAUCCACCGGAAUUCCAUAGUCUUGUGACGACAUUCUCCGGCCAAGCUAGGGUUAUUAUCGUAACAUGCAACCACUAUACCUGUUUCUCUGAGCAAGAGUCAGUUGCUCGUGUGAAGAUAUCGACCCCGGAUCUGAUCGCUUGAAAUUAAUAGUUUGUCAUCCUCAGGUAUUCCUUCAGUUCAUUUUCCUUCCCUUGUCAAUUUGGUUUAACAUUUCUUUUUCUUUAUUUUAUUUUUCUGGCCAAUCAUCAUUUUGUUUUUUUACAUAAUGUAGAUUAGUUUAUGUUAAUGAUAAUAUGUUUAGCCUAAUUAUAAUGUUCAUUUGUCAACUACAAUUUGUUAGGUGAAUUAGAUCAGUUUUAGUCCAUUCAGAUUUUAAUUAAGUGUUAAUUGACAAUUUGUUUUGUUUUGGUCUAUAUCUAAUUUGGCCUUAAUUGUUUGAGUUGGGAGGUUUGAAUGCCAAUUGGAAUUGAAGGGGUUUGAAAGGGUAAUAUUGAAAACUUUAAAGGGGUAAUUAGAAAUCAAUUCAGGGAAUCCAAGGAUAGAAUGGCCUGGAUAGUUUUAGGAGGUUCUCGAAGGGGUUAAUGGACAAUCAAAUGAUCAGAAUUUAGGUCAAAUAGAUUAAAAUUGCAAUAAGCAGAAUUUAGAAGGGUAAAAUUGAGAGUUUUAAAUGGGAAAAUAUCAGAAUGUUCUAGUAUGGGACAGCUGUCCCCAUUCUUAGCAUGAAAAUGCUGAAAUUGGGUGGGAAAAAGGACGGACAACUGUUAAAAGAUGUUGUACUAUCUGACAUUUUAGGAAUUUAGGGCAGAAUAUGCCUUUUUGAUGCUGUUUUAUACACUCUAUAAAAGAAAAAGAACUUUACUGAUUCUUGGACAGAUUUUGAUCAAUAUAUUCACUCUAAAGGGUCCUCUGAAUACACAGAAAACUCAUGCAUCCUUCUUUUCUGGCAUUUAUAAUAGAAAACACACAUAGAAUCCCAAAGAUACCUUAAAAAUGGAGUUUGAAUCUAGAGCUGUUCUUUGUUGUUAGUGUGUUUUGUUACUGCUGUUUUCUGGGUUGUUGAGCUCUAUUUCCUAUGGUUUUUAUGACUUUUAUUUGGUCCCCAAUACUCUGAUUUCUACUCUAAUUACUGGUGGAAGCUGAUUUUCUAUUUUCUUUUCUCCAAAGUCAGAGGCAUAUUUCUUACUAUCUGUUGUACCUGUGACUGUUAAGGUAUUGAUUUCAUUCUCAUCAAAUGUAAUAGUUUUUGGAAUGCCAUAAAUAUCAUCAGAUUUGCAACUUUGGAUUGAUUACAUACUUGUUAAAUGUUCUACCCGUUAAUCUGGUAAUAUAUGGGUUGUUUGAAUAUUUUCUACCAUGUCUACUUUCUAACAAAACCGAGUCUGAUAUUUCAGCAUAUAACAGUAAUAUAACUAUGAGCUUGUUUGUUAAUGUUGUGUUAAUCAUGGAUUUUUGGUUGCAUUAGUUUGAGCACUUAAGGUGAAGUAACAUUGAUAUUUCCAGUUUGAUUUAAAGCAUCAGAUGUGUUGAAUGUUUCAAACCUUAAUGGAGGAGGAAACAAUGCUUUAAAAUCAGUUCUUUCUUUUAGCCUUGGAGUGUUAAAAUACAUUUGAAGUUCUGAAAAUUCCCUAAAUGUUUAAGAUUUAGAAGUUUUGGCAGCAUUCUCUUGUGUGUAAAGCCUUCCCCAUUUGGAAAUCACUUUGUCUUGGGUAUUAUUGGUAUUUGGUAAUGCAGGAGUUUGUAAGUGCUUGGCAUGAGGUACAGAUUUACAAAUCUAGCCACUGAUUGAUUAGCCGUUUGUGAAUGAUAGGCAACUUCAAGAACAUGGCAAAAAAUUAUUGCUAAGUUGAUCACUAGGCAGAUUCAAAAUUAAUUCGAUUUCAGCCUAUACAGAUUACUUUUCUUAAUUUAGUUCAAGGCCUGUAAUUAUUUGUAAAAAUGCAAUGAAGCUAUUCAUUAUUUGUAGUGUAUAAAAUGUAUUCAUAUUUAGUUUAAAUUAUAGUUGUUUCAGUUUUUUUUCUUUACAGCAGCCCAAAUAUUUCUUGAUUCAGAAUUUGAAACUGGGCCCAUUUCAUUUAAGCAUACUAGGACCAGUACAUAUUAACUUGAGAUGAUCCAGUUUAGGAUAUGUUAUCUGUUCUGAAAUGUGACUUAAAUAGCUAGUAUAGAGGUUUUGAAAAUCGUUGAUUUGUGCACAUCUAUAUUUGGCAAGGAUUGUGAGAUUACAAUGUGGUGUUUGAACUCUUUCUAGUCUUUUAUACAAUACAAAUGAUUUUUAAGUUUAACAUUUUGUCAAAAUUAUGUUAAGUAAUUACUAGUUGUCUUUACACAAUGUUGGAUCCAAUCAACCGUGGCCUGAUUUGUCAAAGUUGGUUCAUUGAUUUGUUAAUGUUUGGCUCAUUAACUUGUAGUGAUAUUAUUGGCUCCAAGGGAAAACACAUUUAGAUCAUGUGCCCGCAUUAACAGAAUUCACACUUUACCCGACCCCAUUCUUUGACAUUCACUUGACUGCAAACCUUAUAAAAAAAAAUGAUCAUAUGAACACCCGUAGUUUGCUUUAGGCACGUAACUAAAUCAUCGCAACUACGGGUACGAUUUCCGUGGCAUAGUUGUGAUACCUAAUUUUAAAUUAAGUUUAAAUAUAAAUAUCUGUAGUUCGCUUUAGUUGAGUAUAAUCUUUUGAAAUAAAUGGAGGCGUGCCAUUCACAAAUGAAUCCCAUAAUCUAUGACCCUCACAUUAAUACUAAGACUAGUGUGAAAAAUACUUGGAACAUUCAUAACUAUUAUAGAAAACACUUUGAACAUUCGUAGUUUGCUUUAAGAGCGUUUAUAAUAAAAUUAUCAUAGCUACGGGUACGGUUCCCGUGACGUAAUUGUGAUACAUAAUUUUCAAAUUCGGUGGUACAUUUAUGUGACCCGGCCACAACUUCUAAUAACGUUAAUAAAUUAAACAUGUUGUAGAUCGUGGGCACGGUUCUCGUGACACGAUUCACCGUGUGUAUUAAAUAAACAAGUGUACGACAAUCGUAACUUGUUCAAGAAAUAAUUCCAUAAAUUCUAAAAAAGCGGUUAAAUUAAUUAAUAGUUAUUAUAAAGUUAAAAAUGCACACUAGAUUCAAAACAUGUAGUAAAUCAGAUAAUUCGACCAAUAUUAAUAGUUAAGCGAUUGUGCUCGAACCACGAAAUCCGGAAAUGCCUAACACCUUCUCCCGGGUUAAUAGAAUUCCUUACUUAGAAUUUCUGAUUUCGUAGACUUUUAAAUAAAGUUAAAUUCUCCUCGAUUUGGGAUUUAAAAUAAAUCGGUGACUUGGGACACUAAAUAAACUAUUCCAAGUGGCGACUCUGAAAUAAAUAAAAAAUAAUCUCAUUUCGAAUAAUGUCACUUUAAUUGAAAAAACUCCCUUAUAUCCCCUUUUGGUGGUAAAAAAGAGGUGUGACAAUAUUCAAAAGAAAUGUUGGAAUAUUAUGAUAAUUAUCGUUUUUACCUCAUUAUUACUGUUGUGCUUCAUAUAUAUUUAUAAUUUAUCAUACUGGUUUAUUGGACCACUAUUAAGUGUCGAUGUCGAUCCCUCGUCACUAUUUCUCCGAGGUUAGGCUAGAUACUUACUAGGUACGUGUUGAUUUACGUACUCAUGCUACGCUUCUGCAAUAUAUGUGCAGGAUCUGACAGGUUCAUUUGAUGGUCACCUUGGCGCGUAGGCGCAACAGUUGAGGGGUCCUUAUGGUGAAUUACUUUCCAUGCUACGUACCGUAGCCCAAAGAGUCUCCAUCUUAUUUAUAUACUCUAUCAUGUUUAUUUUAUAUUAUAGACAGAUGAUGUGUUAUUAUGGCGCUCUUUAGUAGGCGCUCAUGCACUUGUGAAACUGAGUUUUGGGAUAUUCUUGUUGAUGUUACGAAAUUGCAUAACAUUGUCACCUUUUGUUUUUAUAUCUUACUAAUUGUGUAUGUACCCAUGAUUUUAAAUGCACAAAUUUUUUUAUUUAAUAAAUUUUGUGAUUUCAAAAAUAAUAAAAUGAACAAUUAAUUUGAUAGUUCACCAUUGACUUGCCUAACGGCUAUGUUAGGCAUGUCGUGAAUUAAAUCUCGACAUUUCUGGCGACCAUUGUGCUUUUAAUAUUGCUCCGGUGUAGCCGUCAAAGUAGUACUGUAUUGUUGGCUGGAGAUUUCUCAAUUGUCGGCGACAUUUUGUGUUUGCUUUGGCUCCUCCAAUUAUCUUCUAUUUCCGUGUGGUUACUGUUACUUUGAUUUUUCAUCUCCCUUGUUUAUAUGUUGAUAACUAAAACAUUUUGCUGGUUCCUAUUUUUGAGCAGAUACGCUGCAAAUCAGGCCGGAAAUUUCGUCCAGUGUGUGUCUCAUUUUGUUACUGUUCCGGCAUCCUUCUUGAUUGUGCCAAUUAAAAAAUGCUUGUUUUGUUCCAUUGUAUUCGGAUUCAUGGGUUACGGAUCUGUUAGCAUUAUAUUGGGAUAUUUGCUAUGAUACUAUUAUUUUCGGACAAAAUCUUGCCAAAGAAAAAUAUACAUCUUUGAACCUGUAACAUUGUUUUACUAAAGAAUGUUACUGAUUUUGAGUAGGUGCAUUUGUUUGGAACGGAUACUGUCUUGAAAGCCUAUGAAAAUAAUUUCUUUAGAUUAUUGAGACACGACCCGCCUAUUGACCUUUCGGACCGGUCCCAAAAUAACGAGGCGAUGAUGAUAAAUAUCAGAAAAGGAAAAGACGAGAACGUGACGAACCAAUAACCUUUGGACAGAGACACGGCUAGCUACCGUAGUCGCAACCAAGGCGGUUCCCGUUCUCAUGUCUAGACGGAAAUCAAAUAUCUGAGCCUCAACCCAAUCGGGAGAUGUUUCGGCUUAUAUUCCUACUAAUGUAAUUUCCAUGGCUGAUGGACAAAUCUUCUUAUCCGUCGACCUCUCUCAUAAUACUUUUAAACUAUUUUCCAAAAAUCUUUUAAUAAAACUUUUUUCAAAAAACAAUUUUCCAAAAACAUAAUUUAAUGAAAAUUAUUUCAAAAAUAUAUGUAAUAUUUAAUUUAUUUUUACUUUAUGGUAUUUCACGAACAAUUUUACUUCUUUUGUCUUGCGAGGUACAAUCACGUGAAGCUGCUUCGGAAGGACAAUGGUUAGGUCGAUUUGAUUUCCCUAUCAAAAUACCCUGCUUCUAUCAGGACCCAGAUUCCCAACGUCGGAGUCGUAAUGGCGCCUAACAUCUACUUGCUAGGCAAGCAAACAUUAGAUAACCAUUUUAAUAAUUUAAAAUAGAGUAAUAACAAUUAUUAACGAUUAAUAAAGCUACAAUACAUAAGAUAAAACCAUAAUAUAACACAGUCUAGUCUAAUUCAAGAAAUUUGGAGUCACCAGUACAUGAACAACUAGAAUACUACAAGUAUGAUUUGAACAAAAUACAACUGUUUGAAAUGAAAUAAACAAUAAUGACAGAAAUAGAGGGGGACUUUAGGGAAUGCGAACGCCAGCAGCUCUACCUCAAGUCUCUGAGGACCAACACUAGUAUUUGCACAAGAAAUGCGAAAAUAUGGCAUGAGUACAACUGACCUAAUGUACUCUAUAAGUAUCGAGUCUAACCUUGACGAGAUAGUGACGAAGCUAUGACAAGACACCUACUAAUAUCCUAUGCAGAUAUACACAAAAGGCAACAGAAACAACAAAUAGGGCAUUUAACAUAAUAACAGGGAGGGAACAUGUAGAAAGAAAAGCACGAGAAGAAUGUCAAGUACAAAAUCACCAAGUAGCCCUUUUACAAAAUAAACUACAAUGCAACUGAUUAAAUCAUCAAUCCUGACAUCAAACAAAGAAAUGAAAUGUAGCCAUUACCCUUCGUACUUUUACUCUCGCCAUCACCGUGUAAUAUCAUAAAUGUAGCCAUUACCCUUCGUGCUUUUACUCUCAUCCUCACCAUAUAAUAAUGAUAAGAUAAAUGAAAUGGCACGGCAUCACCCUUCAUGAUUUUACUCUCUUUCUCACAUGAAAUGAUAAAUGAUACUAAGCAAUCAAGUGCACGACAUCACUCUUCGUGCUUUAAUCCUCACAAUCUCUCAAUCAAUGAUAAUAAUAUGCAAAUAAGGCAUGACAACACCCUUUGUGCUUUUUACUCUUCCUCCCCAAGCAAUAACAUUAAUCCACAAUAGCAAUGCAAGGUAGGGAGAAAAUUUCACUUCAAUUAUAGUGUCAUGAUAGGCAAAAUAGACUUUCAAUAUCUCAACAACUCCAAAAUAACUAAUAAAUAUGAAGGCGAACAAUUAAAGAAAUAAUAAUCUAGCUAAGGAAUAGAAAGCAUAAUCAAUAGAACAACAUAGUACAAUAAAAUAAUUUUCACCCGCAUACUUAAACCCAAUGAUAACACAUAACUACUCAUCACCUUACAUAUAUACCAUCCCUACACAUAAUGCACGUAGCAUAUAGACCAACAGGUCCUAAUUCCCUCAGGUAAAAGUUAACCACGACACUUAACUCUUCUGCAAUCAAAUCAAUGCUCAACCACGACUUUUCUAUAGAAUUAGCCUCCAAAUCAAUCAAAUAUAGCCAUAUAUAGUUCGGAUAAUUCAAAAUAAGCUUAGAAACUACCCAUGAGUAAAAAAGUGUCGAUCUUAAUGAUAUUGAAAAAAGUCAACAAAAGUCAACCCCGGGCCCGCUUGAUCAAAACCCGAGAUUCGGACCAAAAUCCAAUUACUCAUUUACCCCUAAGUCGGUUAUGUGAUUUAUUUCGAAAUCGGACCUCAAUUUGAGGUCUAAAUCUCAAUUUUACAAAAUUCCUAAUUUCUACCCAAAUCCCUAAUUUCUACCAUAGAAAUCCUAAAUUUGAUGUUAAACCACAUGAAAAUUAAUGAGGAUUUGAAAGAAAGUGAGUUAGAGUUGCUUACCAAUGAAUUUGGGAAGAAAAAAUUCUUCAAAAAUCGCCUCCAGUGUGUUUAGGGUUGAGAAAUAAUGUAAAAUGAGCUAAGUCUCGUUUUCCCCAUCUUUUACCCAACUGCAUGUAUCACAGUUGCGAACUCUUAUUCGCAUUUGGGAACACCGCAAAUGCAUAGAACGGAUCACAAAUGCGAUCAUCGUAUCAUAAGCCCAGAAGUCGCAAAUGCGAUAUAACCGUCUUAUAUAAGAAAGGCCACCCCUUCACAUAUGCAAGUCAAGUGUGAAGCUUCCCAACAUUACAUUGCGACACUAGAGUCAUAAAAGCGAAGCCAACAACCAUCGCAAAAGCGACUCUUUCUUCGCAAUUGUGAAGCCCCAACCCCUAGCACAUGCUUGAAAAUGCGAAACCAAUGUUCGCAAAAGUGAGACUUGCAAAUUUGAGUCUGACCUCGCAAAUGCGAGAUAUGUAGAUCAACACGAGGACCGAAGUACACCAGCUAUUUCAAAUCAUCCAAAACUCAUCUGAUACAUACCCGAAACUCACCCGAGCCUCUUGGAAUCCCAAACAAACAUGAACAUAAAUGUAAUAACAUUAUAUAAACUUGCUUCUGCGAUCAAAACACCAAAAUAACAUCUGAAACUACGAAGCGGACAUCAAAAUACAUGAAAUUCAAAAGGAAACUCAAGAGUAGCUAGAAACCCAAUCAAGUGUCUGAUUCCUCUCAAACUAACUCGGAAUAAUGUCAAAUUUUACUGACUAGUUUUAAAUAGCAAAACAGACCUAUUCAAAGUCUCAAAACAAAAAUCUAAACCCGGUAAUCAUAAACUCAACCUAUGGUCAAACCUGAUGAAUUUUUAAAUAUUCAAAUUGCCAUCUUUCAACAAAAUAAGUAUAAUCAACCUAGGGACAUCCGAAUUCAAUUUCAGGCAUACAAGCAAGUCUAAAAUUACAAUACGAACCUACCAGAAUCGUCAAAAUACUUAUCCCGGGUUGUUUAUCCAAAAUGUUGACUGUUGUCAACUCUAACCUUAUUUUUAGUCAAAAUUUUUAUUUUUCUUCAAAUUUCACAUAAAAGUUUUUCGAAAAGCGACACACACCACACACACAUACCAAAAAACAUCAAAUGAAACUACAGGAGGUCUCACAUUAUGAAAAUUAAAGUUAGUAAUCAAAUCAACCUAUCAGGUCGUCACAACUUCGUACUUCCCAUUCUUAGAUGUACUCAAAUAUAAGUAUAGUAGAACUCUUGUUAUAAUAUCGCUUUACUUAUUCUUUUAGGUAUUUAUUUGCUCUAUCUAUCACACCUAGAAUAUCAUGUUUAAAUAAAAUAAUAAAUAGAGUUGUCAAGCGUUAGCUAACUAUAGUUCACAUCAAAUACUUAGGCCUUAGACAUGUGCUUGCAAUUGGUUUGAUUAGCUUGAUUCGUAUUCACGUAGUUAAUCUAACUAGUUAGCUUAACUCGAGUAAAUUUGGGCUUGUGAAUAAUUUAGUUGUGUUUAGUCUCAAUUUUACUAUAUUAAAUUAUUAUGAGAUUUUUCUCUAGUCUUACCAUAUCUCAUACUGUGAUUGUCACGAUCCGCAUUUUUCACCCUCGAGAGUCGUGAUGACGCCUACUAGUGAAAACUAGGCAAGCCAAUCAACUGAAUUAUUUGCCUUGUUUCCAUUUUUUUUAAAUUCGUUAAUAGUUAUAGGCCAACAGUUAAUAAUCAACAAAAUUUAACAAGUGGAAAAUUCAAUUUCAAGCUUUAAUAAUCCUGCUAUAACAAUUCCAUAACAAAUCUACCCAAGAUUGGUGUCACAACUUCAUAGACUGUCUAAGAGUACUACAAAUAAAGGUUUGAAAGAAAUAACAAAAUAUUGUCUCUGGGAUUGCAUAAAGAAACAGGAAAAUAGAUAGAGGGAGACGACAAGGCUUGCGGACGCCUGCAGGACUACCUCGGGUUGCCUGAUGAACAAGUAGCAGAAAUCUCACUGCGGUCCGAAAUCUACAACACUGGGAUCUACACAAAAGAGUGCAGAGUGUAGUAUCAACACAAUCGACCCCAUGUGCUAGUAAGUGCCUAGCCUAACCUCGGUAAAGUAGUGACGAGGCUAGGACCAGAAUACCAAAUAAACAUGUACAGGUAAAUAAUGUACAACGGAAAAUAGAAGAAGAAAUAUAUAGUCAAAGAAGGGAGGGGGAAACAUGCUGCGGGAAAAUACCAAAUGGCAACAGGAGGACAAUAAUUAAAUAUAUGGAACACCACUAUUCAAUUAUCAACAAGAAUCAGAAAUCAAAUAAGUGCACGGCAUCACCCUUCGUGCUUUUACUCUCAUCCUCACCAUAAAAAAUCAAUAUAAACUGCACGACAUCACCCUUCGUACUUUUACUCUCAUCCUCACCAUAAAAUCAAUAUAAUCGGCACAGAAUGGUACAUCGUGCGGCACGACAUCACCCUUCGUGCUUUAACACUCUCUCACCAAAACAAUGCACGACAUCACCCUUCGUACUUUACACUCUUCCUCACCCAAACAACAAACACAAACAAUAAGGGCAAGGAAUAAAUGAAUCAUAAUAAAAUCCGGCAAGGGAACAAUAUCAAAACAACAACAUCCCAGCAAGGGAACAACAUUAGAAGCCGCAACAUCCUGGCAAGGGAUUAAUACCAUAAUCCUCUUCUCAUUUUUCACAUUUACUUCACAACUUGAUUCACAAUUUGAGCCAAUGCUCUAUAAGGUUCAAUUGCCAAUUUUCUUUCCACAAACCUUUGCUCAACAAUAGCAACCACCACAUUAAACAUGAACUAUACAAACAGAGUCACAUUAAUCAUCACAUAAGACUCACGGGCAUGCUUGACACCAAUGUAUAGAUAUUCAUCACCAUGUCUAUACAUUGUACUCAACAAAUAAUACAUAACAAAUAGGACACAACUCCUAAUCCCUCAAGCUAAGGUUAGACCAAACACUUACCUCGCUUGGCAACCAAAUUCAAGAUUCCAAUGAACCUUCGCCUUCAAAAUUCAUGUCCGAAGGCUUCAAAUCUAGUCACAAAUAAUUUAAUAUACUCAAUACAAAUAGUAGAAAUUAAUUCCAUAUAAAUUUGCUAAUUUUUCGGAUUAAAAUCUGAAAUUUAACUCAAAAAUUGCAUGUAGGGCCCACUUUUCGGAAUCAUAUGAAACUCACAAAAUGUGAUAACCCAUUCCGGUACGAGAUCAACCAUAUAAAAAUUAUCGAAUUCCGACAUCGGAUUGGCUUUCAAAUCUUAAAUUUUUGUUUUCGGAAGAUUUGGUAAAAAUCUGAUUUUUCUUCCAUUAAUUCAUGGGUUCAUGAUGUAAAUGAGCAUGGAAUCAUGAUCUAUAAAUUAUUUAUUAUAAAGAACACUUACCUCAUUCAAAUUUAUGAAAACCCCUAUGACAAUCGCCCAAACCGAGCUCCCCCAACUCUAUUUUUGUCAAAAUGGCCAAAACCCCAGUUUUAUAGCAUUUUUACGAUUCGGGCGCCACAGGUGGCUCCAGGCGCUGCCUGUGGUGCUGGUUCCAGUAGCCAAAAAUUAUCCCGGCACCAUGGANNNNNNNNNNNNNNNNNNNNNNNNNNNNNNNNNNNNNNNNNNNNNNNNNNNNNNNNNNNNNNNNNNNNNNNNNNNNNNNNNNNNNNNNNNNNNNNNNNNNNNNNNNNNNNNNNNNNNNNNNNNNNNNNNNNNNNNCCCUGACACGAAAAUGGGCAUAACUCUCUCAUACGAUGUACGAAUUGGACGAUUCUUUUUGCUAUGGCUCUGAAAUUUUGAUACGGAUCUAAUGCUUCAAUCAAAACUGAAUUUGGAGCACAUUUUAUUAAUAUAAUACCACUUAUUCUUAAAGAACGACAUCGAAGCAUUCUUGAAAUGCCCAAGUUAAACUCCAUCAACCAUCCAAAAUCCACUCGAGGCCCUCAAGACUUCAGCCAAAUAUAUCAACAAGUCUUAAAACAUCAUAUGGACUUACCUAGGGUUUCAAAUAACUCCAAGAAAUGUUGAAAUGCCAAUUCACACCUCAAUUCGGACUUAUGAGUUUCAAACUUUUCAAUUUACAUAACUUGUGCCGAAACAUAUCAAAUGAAUCAUGAAUGACUUCAAAUUUGGCACACAAGUCAUAAAUGACAUAAUGGAGCUAUUCCAAUUUUUAAAAUAUCAAUACGAGCCCAGUAUCAAUAAAAGUCAAAUUCGUAGUCAAACUUUGGAAACAUUUAGCCUUUAGAUUUUUAGUUUUUUGUUAAAUGGCUAUAACUUGAGCUAGGGACCUCCAAAUUUGAUUCCGGGCAUACUCCCAAGUCCUAAAUCACGAUACAUACCUACUUGAACUAUCAAAACACUUAUACAGGUCCGUUUGCUAAAAAUGUUGACCGAAGUCAACUCACUUGAGUUUUAAAGCUCUAUUUCACAUUUUAAUCCAUUUUUUUCACAUAAAAACGUUCUGAAAAAUUAUACGGACUGCACAUGCAAAUCGAGGUGAGGUAAAAAGGAGGUUUUUAGGCCUCGGAACACUGAAUUUGUUUCUAAAACAAGUGAUAACUUUUUGGGUCAUCACAUCCUCCACCUCUAAAAUAAUAGUUCGUCCUCAAAUGGACAUAAGAAGGAAGUACCUGAGUCGGGGAAAAGAUAGGGAUAACAGCUCCGCAUAUCGGACUCAGACUCCCAGGUCGAUGCUUCAGCAGCUGACCUCUCCAUUGAACACGAACAGAAGGAAAACUCUUUGAUCUCAACUAACGGACCUGCCGGUCUAGAAUAGCUACCGGCUCCUCCUCAUAGGACAAGUCCUUGUCCAACUGGACAGUGCUGAAGUCUAACACGUGGGAUGGAUUGUUGUGAUACUUCCGAAGCAUGGACACAUGAAACACUGGGUGCACGGCUAAUAAGCUCGGCGGCAACGCAAGUCCGUAAGCCACCUCUCUCACUUGAUCAAGAAUCUCAAACAGGCCAAUGAACCUAGGACUAAGAUUGCCCUUCUUUCGAAAUCUCAUCACGCCCUUCAUAGGCAACACCCGAAGCAAUACCCGCUCACCGACCAUGAAUGCCAAAUCACGAACCUUACGGUGGGCAUAACUCUUUUGCUUGGACUAAGCUGUACGAAUCCUAUCCUGAAUAAUCCUGACCUUGUCCAAGGCAUCUUGUACUAGAUCCAUACCCAACAACCGAGCCUCUCCUCGCUCAAACCAUCCAACCGGCAACCGACACCACCUAUCAUAUAAAGCCUCAUAAGGAGCCAUCUGAAUACUCGACUGGUAACUGUUGUUGUAGGCAAACUCUGCUAAAGGCAAAAACUGAUCCCACAAGCCUCCAAAGUCAAUGACGCAAGCUCGGAGCAUAUCCUCCAAAAUCUGAAUAGUCCGCUCAGACUACCCGUCUAUCUGAGGAUGAAAUGUUGUGCUCAACUCAACCCGUGUGCCAACUCUCGCUGAACUGCUCUCCAAAAAUGUGAGGUAAACUGUGUACCUCGGUCCGAGAUGAUAGACACGGGUACACCAUGGAGACGAACAAUCUCCCGGAUAUAGAUCUCAGCUAACCUCUCGGAAGAAUAGAAGACUGCCACAGGAAUGAAAUGUGCUGACUUGGUUAGUCUAUCAACAAUAACCCACACUACAUCGAACUUCCUUUGAGUCCGUGGGAGUCCAACAACGAAGUCCAUAGUGAUACGCUCCCACUUCCACUCAGGAAUCUCAAUCUUCUGGAAUAAACCACCAGGCCUCUGAUGCUUGUACUUAACCUGCUGACAAUUCAAACAUCGAGCCGCAUAUGCAACAAUGUCCUUCUUCAGUCUCCUCCACCAAUAAUGCUGCCGCAAAUCCUGAUACAUCUUGGCGGUGCCUGGAUGAAUAGAGUACCAGUAACUAUGGGCCUCCUCUAGAAUCAACUACUGAAGUCCAUCCAUACUAGGGACACAAAUGCGACCUUGCAUCCUCAAAACACCAUCAUCUCCUAGUGUGACCUGCUUGGAAUCUCCGUGCUGCACCGUGUCUCUAAGGACACAUAAAUAAGGAUCAUCAUACUGUCGAUCUCGGAUACGCUCCAAUAAAUAAGAGCGAGCAAUUGUACAAGCUAAUAUGCAGCUAGGCUCAGAAACAUCCAACCUUACAAAUUGAUUGGCCAAAGCCUAGAUAUCCAAAGCAAGCGUUCUCUCACCGACUAGAAUAUACGCAAGACUGCCCAUACUGACUGACUUCUUACUCAAAGCAUCGGCCACCACAUUGGCCUUUCCCGGAUGAUAUAAGAUGGUGAUAUCAUAGUCUUUCAACAGUUCCAACCACCUUCUCUGCCUUAAAUUCAGCUCCUUCUGCUUGAACAAGUAUUGCAAACUCUUGUGGUCCGUGAACACCUUACAUGCCACACCAUACAGAUAAUGCCUCCAUAUCUUCAGCGCGUGAACAAUGGAUGCUAACUCGAAAUCAUGGACUGGAUAGUUUUUCUCAUGAAUCUUCAACUGACGCAAAGCAUAAGCAAUGACCUUUCCAUUCUGCAUCAACACCGCACCAAGCCCAACACGAGAUGUAUCAUAGUAAACUGUAUAUGGGCCUGAACUUGAGGGCAGAACCAACACUGGCACCGUAGUCAAAGCUGUCUUGAGCUUCUGGAAACUCGCCUUGCACUCAUCCGACAACUAAACUAGGCACCCUUCUGGAUCAACCUGGUCAUCGAGGCUGCAAUAGAUGAAAACCCCUCCACAAACCGACGAUAAUAGCCUGCCAAACCCAAGAAACUCCAGAUCUCUAUAGCUGAUGUGGGUCGAGGCCAGUUCUUUACUACCUCUAUCUUCUUUGGAUCUACCUGAAUACCCUCUGCUAAAACCACAUGACCCAAGAAAGCAACUGAACACAACCAAAAUUCACACUUCAAAAACAUAGCAUACAACUGACUAUCUCUCAAAGUCUGAAGAACCACUCUCAGAUGUUGUUCAUGCUCCUCAUGACNNNNNNNNNNNNNNNNNNNNNNNNNNNNNNNNNNNNNNNNNNNNNNNNNNNNNNNNNNNNNNNNNNNNNNNNNNNNNNNNNNNNNNNNNNNNNNNNNNNNNNNNNNNNNNNNNNNNNNNNNNNNNNNNNNNNNNNNNNNNNNNNNNNNNNNNNNNNNNNNNNNNNNNNNNNNNNNNNNAGGGCAUUCGUCAGCCUGAACGACAUCACCAAGAACUCAUAAUGCCCGUACCGAGUGCGAAAAGCUGUCUUAGGGACAUCGGAUGCCCUAAUCCUCAACUGAUGGUAGCUAGAUCUCAAGUCGAACUUAGAAAACACUUGGUCACCCUGAAGCUGGUCGAACAAAUCAUCAAUCCUCGGCAAUGGGUAUUUAUUCUUGAUUGUGAACUUGUUCAAUUGCCGGUAUUCUAUACACAUUCUCAUCGAUCCGUCCUUCUUCUUGACAAACAACACCGGUGCACCCCAUAGCGAGACACUGGGCCUAAUGAAACCCUUAUCAAGCAAGUCUUGCAACUGCUCCUUCAACUCUUUCAACUUAGGCGGGGCCAUACGAUAUGGCAGAAUAGAAAUAGGCUGAGUGUCCGGAGCCAGAUCGAUGCAAAAAUAAAUAUCCUUGUUAGGUGGCAUACCCGGUAGGUCUGAAGGAAAUACCUCAGGAAACUCACGGACAAUGGGCACAGAAUCAAUAGAAGGAACCUCGGUACUGAAAUCGCGAACAUAUGACAAAUAGGCCAAACACCCCUUCUCAACCAUUUACCGAGCCUUCGUAUAAGAGAUAAGGCUAUAGGUAGAAUGACCAGGAGUCCCUCUCUAUUCUAAACGAGGUAUACCCGGUAAGGCUAAGGUCACUAUCUUGGCAUGACAAUCUAAGAUGGCAUGGUAAGGUGAUAACUAGUCCAUCCCUAGUAUGACAUCAAAAUCAACCAUGUCCAACAGUAAUAAGUCUACUCGGGUCUCAACACCCCCAAUCACAAUCACGCAAGAAUGAUGAACACGAUCUACCACAAUAAAUCACCCACCAGGGUGGACACAUAAAUAGGAGCACUCAUAGAAUCACUGGGCAUGACCAGAUACGGCGCAAAAUAAGAUGACACAUAAGAGUAUGUAGAACCUAGAUCAAAUAGCACUGAAGCAUCCCUACUACAAACCAAAGUCGUACCAUUGAUAACUACAUCAGAAGCCUCAACCUCCACCCUGGCUGGAAGAGCAUAAAAUUGGGGCUGGGCCCUACCACCCUAGACUACAUCUUUGGGACGACCUACUGCUGGCUGGUCUCUACCUCUAGCAGCCUGAGCUUCGCCUCUAGAACCUCUACCUCCACCUCUAGCACCUCUACCUCCACCUCUGGCUAGCUGGGCGGGCUGUGGAACACUCGGUGCCUGAACCAUGGCACGGGAACCCGGAUGCUGAGAGCUGCUCGAUGCUCGAGGACAAAAUCUAGAAAUGUGACCUGUUUCACCACAAGUAUAACAAGUCCUCGGCUACUGAGACUGCUGACCCUGACGACCUGAAUGGCCACCCUGAAAACUCUAGAGCAGUGGUGCAUUGAUAGGAGCUAGUGGUGCACUAUAGGACUGCUAAUCAGAAUACUACAUGUGAGAACCACGACCACCUGAAGCACCAUGAGAAACCUAAAGUGCCGAUAGAAAAUGCAUAGGAGGAUGGCCUCUACCAUACAAAUCCCUACCUCCAGACGAGGCGCCACUGAAUCUGCCUGAAUGACGAGGCCUCUUGUCAGACCCCUGGCCACCUCCCUGUGAUAAAACCAUCUCAACCCUCCUGGCCACAUUGGCCACCUCCUGGAAGAAAUGUCAUUCCCCGUCUCCUUAGCCAUCUAGAGUCGAAUAGGCUGGAUAAGUCCAUCAAUGAACCUCCUCACCCUCUCUCUCACACACACACUAGGAAGUAUAAGUAGAGCAUGACGGGCCAACUUGAUAAACCUGGUCCUGUACUGAGUAACAGUCAUAGAACCAUGCUGGAGGUGCUCAAACUGCCUCCGAUAGAUCUCUCUAUGAGUAACAGGAAGAAACUUCUCCAAGAAUAGCUGAGUAAACUGCUCCCAAGUCAAAUCUGGUGAUCCGGCUGGUCUAGCCAAACAGUAAUAUCUCCACCAAGUCUUGGCGGAUCCAGAUAAGCGAAAAGUAGCAAAAUCGACCCUAUUGGUCUCCACUAUCCCUAUGUUCCUGAGAACCUCGUGACAACUGUCUAGAUAAUCCUAGGGAUUCUCAAAAGAUGCACCGCUGAAAGUGGCAGUGAAGAGCAUGGUAAACCUAUCCAAUCUCCACAAGGCAUCGGCAGUCAUAACUGCUCCGUCACCAGUCUGGGCUACCAUACCCGGUUGAACUGCUCCAACUAGCUGAGCUGUUGGAGUCUAAAACUGGGGAGCCACCUGCUCUGGAGUGCGAGUAGCAGGAGUCUGGGACCCUCAUCCAGUAUGAGAAACGGAUGGUGCUACAGGAAGCAAGCCUACCUGGGUGACGCUCUCCAUGAGGCCAACUAGACGGACCAGAGCAUCCUGAAGUACUGGGGUAGCAAUAAACCCCUCUGGGACUUGAGCUGGGCCCACCGGAGCUGUCUUGGUCGAAACCUCCUCGUCAAACUCAACCAGAGGUUCCGCCACUAGUGCCGCUACUCCGGGCUAAGCUCGGCCUCUAGCACGGCCUCGGUCUAACCCUCUGCCCCUCGUGUGAGCUACUGCUGGGGGCUCGGGCUGCUGAUCAACAAAUGAGGAAGCGCGUGUUCUCAGCAUCUGCGAAAGAACAGAGUAGAAAUUCAAUUAGCAUUGAGAAACCAAACCGCACGACGGGAAAUAAUAUAUGUGAAAUUUUACCUAACUCUGUAGCCUCUGGGGAAUAAAUACAGACAUCGCCAUACCGAUCCCUCAGACUCUACUAAGCUUGUAUGUGAAUUGUGAGACCUAUGUAACCUAGAGCUCUGAUACCAACUUGUCACGACCCGUAUUUCCCACCCUCGGGAGUCGUGAUGGCGCCUACUAGUGAAAGCUAUGCAAGCCAAUCAACUGAAUUAUUUGCCUUGUUUCCAUUUUUUUUUAAAUUCAUUAAUAGUUAUAGGACAACAGUUAAUAAUCAACAAAAUUUAACAAGCGGAAGAUUCAAUAUCAAGCUUUAAUAAUCCUGCUAAUACUAUUCCAUAACAAAUCUACCCAAGAUUGGUGUCACAAAUUCAUAGACUGUCUAAGAGUACUACAAAUAAAGGUCUGAAUGAAAUAACAAAAUACUGUCUCUGGGAUUACAUAAAAGAAACAGGAAAAUAGAUAGAGGGAGACGCCAAGGCCUAUGGACGCCUGCAGGACUACCUCGGGUCGCCUGAUGAACAAGGAGAAGAAAUCUCACUAUGGUCCGAAAUUUACAGCACUGGGAUCUGCACAAAAGAGUGCUGAGUGUAGUAUCAGCACAAUCGACCCCAUGUGCUAGUAAGUGCCUAGCCUAGCCUCGGCAAAGUGGUGACGAGGCUAGGACCAGACUACCAAAUAAACCUAUGCAGGUAAAUAAUGUACAACGGAAAAUAGAAGCAGAAAUAUACAGUCAAGGAUGGGAGGGGAAACAUGCUGCGGGGAAUACCAAAUGCCAAUAAGAGGAUAGCAGUUAAAUUUAUGGAACACCACAAUUCAAUUAUCAACAAGAAUCAGAAUUCAAACAAGUGCACGACAUCACCCUUUGUGCUUUUACUCUCAUCCUCACCAUAAAAAAUCAAUAUAAACUGCACGGCAUCACCCUUCGUACUUUUACUCUCAUCCUCACCAUAAAAUCAAUAUAAUCGGCACGGAAUGGUACAUCGUGCGGCACGGCAUCACCCUUCGUGCUUUAACACUCUCUCACCAAAACAAUGCACGACAUCACCCUUCGUGCUUUACACUCUUCCGCAACCAAACAACAAACACAAACAAUAAGGGCAAGGAAUAAAUGAAUCAUAAUAAAAUCCCGACAAGGGAACAAUAUCAAAACAACAACAUCCCGGCAAGGGAACAAAAUUAAAAGCCACAAUGUCCCUGCAAGGGAUCAAUACCAUAAUCCUCUUCUCAUUUUUCACAUUUACUUCACAACUUGAUUCACAGUUUGAGCCAAUGAUCUAUAAGGUUCAAUUGCCAAUUUUCUUUCCACAACCUUUGCUCAACAAUAGCAACCACCACAUUAAACAUGAACAAUACAAAUGGAGUCACAUUAAUCAUAACAUAAGACUCAGGGGCAUGCUUGACACCAAUAUAUAGAUACUCGUCACCAUGACUAUACGUCGUACUCAAUAAAUAACACAUAACAAAUAGGACACAACUCCUAAUCCCUCAAGCUAAGGUUAGACCAAACACUUACAUCGCUUUGCGACCAAAUUCAAGAUUCCAAUAAACCUUCGCCUUGAAAAUUCAUGUCCGAAGGCUUCAAAUCUAGUCACAAAUAAUUUAAUAUACUCAAUACAAAUAGUAAAAAUUAAUUCCAUAUGAAUUUACUAAUUUUUCGGAUUAAAAUCCAAAAUUUAACUCAAACAUUUCCUGUGGGACCCACUUCUUGGAAUCAUACGAAACUCACAAAAUGUGAUAACCCAUUUCGAUACGAGCUCAACCAUACAAAAAUUAUCGAAUUACGACAUCGGAUUGGCUUUCAAAUCUUAAAUUUUCGUUUUUGGAAUAUUUGGUAAAAAUCUGAUUUUUCUUCCAUAAAUUCAUGGAUUCAUGAUGUAAAUGAGUAUGGAAUCAUGAUCUAUAAAGGAUUUAUGAUAAAGAACACUUACCUCAUUCAAAUUUAUGAAAACACCUCUGAAAAUCGCCCAAACCGAGCUCCCCCAACUCUAUUUUUGUCAAAAAUGGCCAAAACCCCCAUUUUAUAGCAUUUUUACGAUUCGGGCGCCACAGGUGGCGCCGGGCACUGCCUGUGGCGCUGGUUCCAGUAGAUAAAAUUAUCCCGGCGCCAUGGAUGGCGCCCCGCGCUACCCUGGGCACUGGCGAUGGAAAUUAUUUUUUUCCGACACGAAAAUAGGCAUAACUCUCUCAUACGAUGUCCAAAUUUGACGAUUCCUUUUUCUAUGGCUCCGAAAUUUCGAUACGGAUCUAAUGUUUUAAUCAAAACUGAAUUUGGAUCCCAUUUUCGUAAUAUGAUACCACUUAUUCUUGAAGAAACGACAUCGAAACAUUCUUGAAAUGCCCAAGAACUCCAUCAAUCAUUCAAAAUCAACUAGAGGCCCUAGGGACUUCAAUCAAAUAUAUCAACAAGUCUUAAAACAUCAUAUGGAAUUACCUAGGGUUUCAAUCAUUCCAAGCAAUGUUGAAACGUCAAUUCACACCUUGAUUCGGACUUAUGAGUUUCAAACUUUUCAAUUUACAAAACUUGUGCCGAAACAUAUCAAAUGAAUCCGGAAUGACUUCAAAUUUGGCACACAAGUCAUAAAUGACAUAAUGGAGCUAUUUCAAUUUUCGGAAUAUCAAUACGAGUCCGGUAUCAAUAAAGUCAAAUCCGUAGUCAAACUUUGGAAACAUUUAGACUUUAGAUUUCUAGUUUUUUGUUAAAUGACUAUAACUUGAGCUAGGGAGCUCCAAAUUUGGUUCCGGGCAUACACCCAAGUCCUAAAUCACGAUACGGACCUACUUGAACUAUCAAAACACUUAUACAGGUUCGUUUGCUAAAAAUGUUGACCGAAGUCAACUCACUUGAGUUUUAAAGCUAUAUUUCACAUUUUAAUCCAUUUUUUCAUAUAAAAACAUUCUAAAAAAUUAUAUGGACUGCACAUGCAAAUCGAGGUGAGGUAAAAAGGAGGUUUUAGGCCUCGAAACACUGAAUUUGUUUCUAAAACAAGUGAUGAUUUUUUGGUUCAUCACAGUGACACUUAGAUUCAUUUUUGUGAAUAAUUCUUUGGCAAAGAAUAUGAUUUAAAGUAAUAGACUUAGGCGAAGUUUUAAUCAUAGGAACAAUUUAUUUAUUUUUUACACAUACUCUUUCACCAAAACAUAAAUCUUCUCUUGUAUAUCAUUGGCAAAUCUUUCCUGUUCUCUAUUGAUUCUUUACUCAACUAACCCUUUAGGAAAGAACCUUAGUCAACCUAUCAUAUAAGAUUUGUGAUAAUUCUUUCUUAUGCUCCCAUAUUUAUGAUAAUGUUUUCUACUUUAUUUGAUUAUUUCUUUUAAGUUAAUUGAUAUCUAUUUUAUUCAAAGAUAAUUCUCUACCUUAUUUACAUGUAUUCAUGUCACGACCCGAAUCCGAUCGUGAUGGCGCCUUUCGUAAAGACAAGGCCAGCCAGACCAAAACAGAACAACUUUUUUAAUUAGUUAAUUAUCAUAAAAAGUAAUAAAAUAUGAUAUAAUAUCCAUAAAUUGCGAAAUUUAACGAUAACAACAGUAGAAACUAUCCAGACACAGUCCAAACCGGGGUGCCACAAGUCAUGAGUAACUAAGGAUCCCGAUACGAGUCUACUAAAUACAAAAUCUGGUACAUAAGUUCAAGGACAUGAAAAUAGUAAGAUAAGGGAGGCACGGGGGCUGCGAACGCCAACAGCUACCUCGUAGUCUCCAAAAAUGCUGCCUAGACUAGGAGGAUCAGCACUCAGGAGCGGACUCUGCGAUGCCUGAAUCUGCACNNNNNNNNNNNNNNNNNNNNNNNNNNNNNNNNNNNNNNNNNNNNNNNNNNNNNNNNNNNNNNNNNNNNNNNNNNNNNNNNNNNNNNNNNNNNNNNNNNNNNNNNNNNNNNNNNNNNNNNNNNNNNNNNNNNNNNNNNNNNNNNNNNNNNNNNNNNNNNNNNNNNNNNNNNNNNNNNNNNNNNNNNNNNNNNNNNNNNNNNNNNNNNNNNNNNNNNNNNNNNNNNNNNNNNNNNNNNNNNNNNNNNNNNNNNNNNNNNNNNNNNNNNNNNNNNNNNNNNNNNNNNNNNNNNNNNNNNNNNNNNNNNNNNNNNNNNNNNNNNNNNNNNNNNNNNNNNNNNNNNNNNNNNNNNNNNNNNNNNNNNNNNNNNNNNNNNNNNNNNNNNNNNNNNNNNNNNNNNNNNNNNNNNNNNNNNNNNNNNNNNNNNNNNNNNNNNNNNNNNNNNNNNNNNNNNNNNNNNNNNNNNNNNNNNNNNNNNNNNNNNNNNNNNNNNNNNNNNNNNNNNNNNNNNNNNNNNNNNNNNNNNNNNNNNNNNNNNNNNNNNNNNNNNNNNNNNNNNNNNNNNNNNNNNNNNNNNNNNNNNNNNNNNNNNNNNNNNNNNNNNNNNNNNNNNNNNNNNNNNNNNNNNNNNNNNNNNNNNNNNNNNNNNNNNNNNNNNNNNNNNNNNNNNNNNNNNNNNNNNNNNNNNNNNNNNNNNNNNNNNNNNNNNNNNNNNNNNNNNNNNNNNNNNNNNNNNNNNNNNNNNNNNNNNNNNNNNNNNNNNNNNNNNNNNNNNNNNNNNNNNNNNNNNNNNNNNNNNNNNNNNNNNNNNNNNNNNNNNNNNNNNNNNNNNNNNNNNNNNNNNCAUCACUCAAGCCACCUCAUGGCGUAUAAAAGUAUCUCAGGGCCUCGGCCUCAUAUCUCUCAGCAUAUACUCACAUAUGGACCUCGGCCUCACUCAGUCCAAAAAUCAUCACAAGCCCCUCGGGCAUUAGCAAAACAGUAGUUCUCAGCCCAAAACAUCUUUUAGAAAUAUCAUUUAAGUUUCAAAUAUGAGUAAAAAUGGCUGAGUUUGUAAAACAUUAAAUAUCAACAGGACUGAGUUCAAGUGAUAAAUCAAUACAUUGAGGAAUAGUGAUAAAAAUCCUCCGAGGGUUCAAAUAAUUGGCACGAAGCCCAAAUAUGGCAAUCAGCCCAAACCAUGAUGAUAACAAACAAGUUUUAGUCAAAUACGAGGUAAAAUCAUCAGUCGGGAUGGACCAAGUGACAAUCCCCAAUAGUAAAUGACUCCGCGCUCAUCAUCAAGCGCGUGUCUCACCUCAAUAUAGUACUAUGAUGUGCAAAUUCGGGGUUUCAAACCCUCAUGACAUCAUUUACAAUCAUUACUCACCUCGAACCGGCGAAAUCUCCAGCUCGCAACGCCUUUGCCCUUCAAAUUGGUCUCCACGCGCGUCGAAUCUAUCCAAAAUCAGAACGGAUACAUCAAAAUAUGCUAAGGGAACAAAGUCCAAGCAAAAACAAUCGAAAAGUAUCAAAAAUCCCGAAAUUAGCGAAACCCGAGCCCCGGGCCCACUUCUCGAAACUCAGAAAUUUUUACAUCAUUAGAUUCCUUAUCACCCCACAAGUUCAUACAUAUCAAAAGUUCUCAAAUCGGACCUCAAAUGGUCCUUCAAAUCCCAAUUUAAAAGUUCAAAAUCCCAAGCCCUAGUUCUUCCAUCUUUACCUUAAGUUCCAUGAAUUUCUAGGUUGAUUUCACAAUAGAAUCACGUUUUAGGUUCAAAAAUCUUACCUCCAAUCAAUUCUCCUUGAAUCCUUAUUUAAUCACCCUCAAAAGCUCUCAAAAUGCUCAACUAUGGAGGAAAAAUGACUCAAAAUCGCGGAUGAAAUAACUUAUAAACUUUCUGCCCAGUUCUGAUAUUCCUUCUUCGCGAACGCGGUCAACCUCUCGCGUUCGCGAAGCACAACUUCGCGUUGACCAACUUUUCCUCUUUGCAAACGCGACUCACCCAUUGCGAGCCCGAUGCUUCUUCCUCCUAUACCUUCGCGAAUGCGAACCCCUUACGCGAACGCGGUGAACAAAAAGGCCUUGAUCUCAAAUUACACUACGCAAUCGCGAGUACCCUCUCGCGAACGCGAUGCCCAACCUGCCAACCCUCCGCGAACGCAAAGCUCCACUCGCAAACGCGAAGGCUUAACCCUGGCCUUCCACAAUUCCUUCUUCGCGAACGCGAGGACCCCUUCGCGAACACGAAGAGAUAAAUCUCUGCAACACUGAACCUGCAUUUCUGCAAUUUCCCAAACUCCAAAAUGGUCCGAUUAACCACCCGAAACUUACCCGAGGCCCCCAAUACCUCCUAAAGGCAUCAACACAUCCUAAAACCUCAUUAAAAGUUGUUCCAAUCAUCAAAACACCUCAAACAACACCAAUUCCAUCAAUUCACAUUGAAUUCAAGCCUAAGUUUUCUAAAAACUUCUGAAAUACACUUUCGAUCAAAAACCAAACCAAACCAUGUCCGAAUGACCUGAAAUUUUGCACACACAUCACAAAUGACAUAACGAAGCUACAACAACUCUCAGAAUUCCAUUCCGACCCUCGGAUCAAAAUCUCACCUAUCAACCGGAAAUUACCAAAAUACUAACUUCGCCAAUUCAAGCCUAAUUAUACACCAGACUUCCAAAACCAAUUCCGAUCACACUCCUAAGUCAUGAAUCACCUCCCGAAGCUAACCGAACCAUCGGAACUUUGAUCCAAGUCCUAUAACACAUAAGUCAACACUCUGUUGACUUUUCCAACUUAAACCCUCUUAAAAGAAACUAAGUGUCUCAUUUCUUACCAAAUCCACUCCGAACGCAAACUACCCAACUCGCUCACAUAAAAAACGGAUAACGAAGCAUAAUGAAGCAGAAAUGGGGGAAAUGGAGCGGUAAUUCGUGAGAUGACUGGCUGGGUCAUCACAUCCUCCCCAACUUAAACAAACGUUCGUCCUCGAACGAGUCAAGAAACAUACCUGAAGCCUCAAAUAGGUGAGGAUAUCUGCUCUGCAUCUCCCGCUUAGUCUCCCAGGUAGCCUCCUCCAUGGGCCGACCUCUCCACUGCACCUUCACUAAAGUUAUAUCCUUUGACCUUGACUUUUGAACCUGACGUCCCAAAAUAGCUACUGGCUCCACAUCAAAGGUCAAAUCAGCAUCCAACUGAACCGUGUUGAAUUCCAAAACAUGAAAUGGGUCCCCAAUAUACUUUCGGAGCAUAGAAACAUGAAAUACCGGAUGCACGCUAGACAAGCUGGGUGGCAAAGCAAGCUCAUAAGCCACCUCCCCGAUCUUCCGAAGCACCUCAAAAGGCCCAAUGAACCGCGGGCUCAACUUCCCUUUCUUCCCAAAUCUCAUAACACCCUUCAUGGGCAAAACCUUCAGCAAGACCUUCUCACCAACCAUGUAGGAUACAUCUCGAAUCUUCCGGUCCGCAUAACUCUUCUGACGCGACUCUGUCAUACGAAGCCUUUCCUGAAUCACCUUCACCUUCUCUAAGGCAUCCUGAACCAAAUCUAUCCCCAAUAGCCUAGCCUCGCCGGGCUCGAACCAACCUACUGGAGAUCUACACUGCCUCCCAUACAAAGCCUCAUAUGGAGCCAUCUUAAUACUCGACUGGUAGCUUUUGUUGUAAGCAAACUCUACAAGUGGUAGAAACUUAUCCCAUGAACCUCUGAAAUCAAUAACACAAGCACGCAACAUGUCCUCUAAUAUCUAAAUAGUACACUCGGACUGCCCGUCCGUCUGAGGAUGAAAAGCUGUGCUCAACUCCACCUGAGUACCCAACUCUCUCUGCACGGCUCUCUAAAACUGGGAAGUAAACUGAGUACCCCGAUCUAAAAUAAUAGAAAAUGGAACACCAUGCAGCCGAACAAUCUCCCUAAUGUAUAAUUCUGCUAACCGCUUUGAAGAAUAGGUAGUACACACAGGAAUGAAGUGCGUAGACUUGGUCAGCCGAUCCAUAAUCAUCCAAAUAGCAUCAAACUUCUUCAAAGUCCGUGGAAGUCCAACAACAAAGUCCAUAGUGAUCCUCUCCCACUUCCACUUAGGAAUAACCAUCUGCUGAAGUAAGCCACCCUAUCUCUGAUGCUCAUAUUUCACCUCCUGACAAUUGAGACAUCGAGCUACAAAUCCCACAUAUCNNNNNNNNNNNNNNNNNNNNNNNNNNNNNNNNNNNNNNNNNNNNNNNNNNNNNNNNNNNNNNNNNNNNNNNNNNNNNNNNNNNNNNNNNNNNNNNNNNNNNNNNNNNNNNNNNNNNNNNNNNNNNNNNNNNNNNNNNNNNNNNNNNNNNNNNNNNNNNNNNNNNNNNNNNNNNNNNNNNNNNNNNNNNNNNNNNNNNNNNNNNNNNNNNNNNNNNNNNNNNNNNNNNNNNNNNNNNNNNNNNNNNNNNNNNNNNNNNNNNNNNNNNNNNNNNNNNNNNNNNNNNNNNNNNNNNNNNNNNNNNNNNNNNNNNNNNNNNNNAAAUCCGGCCCUGCAUCUUCAACACCCCAUCAUCACCAAUGGUCACAUCUCUAGCAUCAUCAUGUUGAACUCUGUCCUUAAGGACAAGCAAAUGCGGAUCAUCAUACUGGCGCUCUCUGAUGCGAUCAUAUAAGGAAGACCGAGAAACCUCACAUGCCAACACCCGACUGGGCUCCGAAAUAUUCAACCUCACGAACCGAUUGGCCAAGGCCUGAGCAUCAACUGCAAGAGGUAUCUCCCCAACUGGGAUGUAUGACAAACUCCCCAUAGUCACUGCCUUUCGGCUCAAAGCAUCAGCCACCACAUUGGCCUUUCUCGGAUGGUACAAUAUGGUGAUAUCAUAAUCCUUAAGCAACUCUAACCAUCUUCGUUGCCUCAAAUUAUGAUCCUUUUGCUUGAACAAAUGCUGAAUACUGCGAUGAUAAGUGAAUAUCUCACAAGAUACACCAUACAAAUAAUGCCUCCAAAUCUUCAAUGCAUGAACUAUGGCAGCCAACUCCAAAUCAUGAACGAGGUAGUUCUUCUCAUGGGGCUUCAACUGACGAGAAGCAUAAGCAAUAACCCUACCCUCCUGCAUCAAUACACAACCAAUCCUAAUACUCGAAGCAUCACAAUACACAGUAUAUGAACCCGAAGCUGAUGGCAAACCAAUACUGGAGCUGUGGUCAAAGCUAUCUUGAGCUUCUGAAAGCGCUCUUCACACUCAUCUGACCAUACAAAUGAAACACCCUUCUGAGUCAACUUGGUCAAGGGCGAUGCGAUAAAUGAGAAUCCCUGAACAAAUCGGCGAUAAUAGCCUGCCAACCCAAGAAAGCUACAAAUCUCUGUGGCUGAGGAUGGUCUGGGAUAACUCUGAACCGCCUCUAUCUUCUUCGGAUCAACCUGAAUACCCUCGCUGGACACCACGUGUCCCAAGAAAGCCACUGAAUUGAGCCAAAACUCACACUUGGAGAACUUUGCAUAAAGCUUCUCCUCCCUCAAUUUCUGCAACACUACUCUCAAAUGCUCCGCGUGCUCCUCCUGGCUACGAGAGUACACCAGAAUAUCAUCAAUGAAGACUAUAACGAACGAAUCAAGAUAAGGCCGGAACACGCUAUUCAUCAAAUGCAUGAACGCCGCUGGGGCAUUGGUUAGCCCGAAAGACAUUACAAGGAACUCAUAAUGACCAUAUCUAGUCCUAAAAGCAGUUUUAAGAAUAUCUAAAUCCCUGAUCUUCAACUGGUGAUAGCCCAAACGGAGAUCAAUCGUGGAGAACACUCUCGCUCCUUGAAGCUGAUCAAAUAAAUCAUCAAUGCGAGGCAAAGGAUACUUGUUCUUAAUUGUUACUUUGUUCAAUUGCCUAUAAUCAAUGUACAUUCUUAUCGUGCCAUCCUUCUUCUUCACAAACAAAACCGGUGCACCCCAAGGUGACAUACUAGGCCAAAUGAACCCCUUAUCUAGGAGUUCCUGAAGCUAUUUUUUCAAUUCCUUCAACUCUGGUGGUGCCAUACGAUAUGGUAGAAUAGAAAUGGGCUGAGUGCCCGGCACCAGGUCAAUACCAAAAUAAAUGUCCCUAUCCGGUGGCAUGCCCGACAGGUCUGCAGGAAACACAUCGAGAAAAUCCCUUACAACUAGGACAAAAUCAAUACUAGGAGUCUCAGCUCCAACAUCCCCCACAAAUGCUAGAUAUGAAAUGCAACCCUUCCCAACCAUACACUGGGCCUUCAAGAAAGAAAUCACUCUACUAAGAACAUAAUCAGUCAUGCCAUGCCACUCGAUCCGCGGCACACCCGGCAUAGCCAAAGUGACGGUCUUAGCAUGAUAGUCUAGAAUAGCACGAUACGGAGAUAACCAAUCCAUGCCCAAAAUGACAUCAAAAUCCACCAUGCUCAAUAGCAAUAGAUCCACUCGGGUCUCCAGACCCCCAAUAGUCACCACACAUGACCGGUACACACGGUCUACAACAACAGUAUCGCCCACCGGGGUAGAUACAUAAACAGGUAAAAUAAAAAACUCACGGGGCGUACCCAAAUAACAAGCAAAGUAUGAUGACAUAUAGGAAAAGGUGGAACAAGGAUCAAAUAAUACAGAGGUAUCUCUGCGAUAGACUGAAACAAUACCUGUAAUGAUAGCAUCUGAAGCAAUAGUAUCUGGCCUACCUGGAAGUGCAUAGAAACGGGUCUGACCGCCCCCUGAUCGACCUCCCCCUCAGGGCGACCCCUGGCUGCCUGACCUCCACCCCUAGCUGGCUGGGCUGGUGGUGAAGUAACUGGAGAAGAAGUCGAGGGCUAACCCCUCUGUUGGGACAAACUAGCAACAUGACGAGGACACUGCCUCCACAUAUGCCCAAACUCUCCACACUCAAAACAACUCCCAGGUGCUAGAGAAGGGGACUGAAGGGAACCCCUUGCACUGGAGUGGCUAGUUGAUGCACUCAGCAUAGAAGAACCCUGAGCCGACGGGGCACGAGAUGAACUCUGAGCUAGGAGGGCAUUGAUUGAAGGCUGGCCCUGCUGAGACCCAUGAUAACCACGACCUGAAGAUGCCCCGCGAUACACUGGGCGGGCUGACUGAGCAAGCCUAAAAGAACGACCUCUACCAUGCUGGAACUGGCCCCUCGAAGGAGCACCACUGUAACUGCCAGAUCCUCGAGGCCUCUUGGCCUUCCUCUCCUCUCGAUCCUAACGGCGAACCGUCUCAAUCUCACGAGCGAUAUCAACCACCUCCUCGAACAUAGCACCUAACUGGCCUACGCCUCUCAUACGCCUCCCACCAAGUGAAGGCAGCCCCAGUAAACUGAAAGGUGGUAAAUGCCACACCACUAGUCUCAAGAAUCCCUGCUGUAUGGAGCAUCCGCUGACACUUAUCUAGAAAACCUUGGGUAUCCUCGCCCUCAGUACCACUGAAUGACGGAGGCUGGAGUCUACCAAACCUCUCAAGACGAUGCUGCUCAUCAUCCGGCAUAACUGGUACCAUGAACUCCUGAGCUGGUGCAACCGGCUGGGCUGGAGGUGCCUCCGGCAUCUGAAGUCCCUGCACUACCUGCUCAGGUGUGCGAGCAGCGGGGGUCUGAUUGCCUCCCCUGGCCUGUGAAGUAGUUGCUGCUGCUAUGGUGGCUGAAACUGCCUGAGCCAAGUCAGUGCAAACAGUUAAGAUCUAUGCCAAGGCCUUUUGUAGUCCCGGGAUCAAGAGAGGCACAACUGGUGCCUGAACUGGUGCUGCUUGAGCUUGAUCCGGAGCUGGGGUAGCUGGUGGAUCAACAGGUGCUGCCCUCGCUGCUCUUCCACGACCGCAUCCAUGGCCUAUAGUGGCCUCAGUAGGUGGCACUGGUGGUCGUACACCUCGUCCAAUAGCUUGCGUCCUCACCAUCUGUGAGAGAAUAGAAUAAUAGGAGUUUAGUUCUCGGAUCAACAAGAUCGCACAACAAGAAUUUCAAGAAUAUGAAGUUUUUCCUAAAAAGGUUCUACAGCCUCUCGAGGAUAAAUACAGACGUCUUUGUACCGAUCCAUGAGACUCUACUAAACCUGGUCAUGACUCAUGAGACCUAAGUAACCUAGGCUCUGAUACCAACUUGUCAUGACCCUAACCCCGAACCCGAUCGUGAUGGCACAUCUCGUGAAGACAAGGCCAGCCAGACCAAAACGGAACACCUCUUUUAAAUAGUUAAUUAUCAUAAACAGUAAUAAAACAUGAUAUAAUAUCCAUGAAUUGCAGAAUUUAACGAUAACAACAGUAGAAACCAUCCCGACAUAGCCCAAACUGGGGUGUCACAAGUCAUGAGCAACUAAGGAUCCCGAUACGAGUCUACUAAAUACAAUAUUUGGUACAGAAGUUCAAGGACAUGAAAAUAGUAAGAUAAGGGAGGCACGGGGGCUGCGAACGCCAACAGCUACCUCGUAGUCUCCGAAAACACUACUUGUACUGGGAGGAUCAGUACUCAGGAGUGGACUCUGCGAUGCCUGAAUCUGCACACACAGUGUAGGGAGUAAUGUGAGUACUCCGACUCAGUGAGUAAUAAUUAUAAAUAAUGGCUGAAGCAAGAAAACACGUAAAGGCACAAAACAAUUCUAUAUCAAGCAGUAAAAAUCACUUAAAGCAGUAGAUCAGUGAGGAAGUCAAAUGAAAUUCCUUUAAACCAAGUAAAACAGGUAAUUUAGCAGGUAAAUAACAAGUAGAAAUAUGCCCCUCGGGCACAGUAACAAUCUCUCAUAACAGUAUCAGCCUCUCGGGCUCACUAUCAGUACAGUAUCAGCCCUUCAGGCUCACUCUCAGAUCAUGAUGGGUAUCUGCGCUCAUUGUGGGUGUGCAAACUCCGAAGGUGCCCCUUACGACCCAAGCGCAAUAUCAAGCCACCUUGUGGCAUCAUCUCUCGGCACUCGCCUUCACAUCAGUCGGCACUCAGCCUCACAUCACUCAAGCCACCUCAUGGCAUAUAAAGGUAUCUCAGGCCCUCGACCUCAUAUUGCUCAGCAUAUCCUCACAUAUGGCCCUCGGCCUCACUCAGUCCAAAAAUCAUCACAAGCCCCUUGGGAAUUAGCAAAACAAUAGUUCUCAGCCCAAAACAUCUUUUAGAAAUAUCAUUUAAGUUUCAAAUAUGAGUAAAAGUGGCUGAGUUUGUAAAACAGUAAAUAUCAACAGGACUGAGUUCAAGUGAUAAAUCAAUACAGUGAGGAAUAGUGACAAAAAUCCCCGGAGGGUUCAAAUAGUUGGCACGAAGCCCAAAUAUGGCAAUCAGCCCAAACCAUGAUGAUAACAAACAAGUUUUAGUCAAAUACGCGGUAAAAUCAUCAGUCGGGAUGGACCAAGUCAAAAUUCCCAAUAGUAAACGACUCCACACUCAUCAUCAAGCCCGUGUCUCACCUCAAUAUAGCAAUACGAUGUGCAAAUCCGGGGUUUCAAACCCUCAGGACAUCAAUUACAAUCAUUACUCACCUCGAACCGGCGAAAUCUCUAGCUCGCGACGCCUUUGCCCCUCAAAUUGGCCUCCACGCGCAUCGAAUCUAUUCAAAAUCAGAACGAAUACAUCACAAUAUGUUAAGGGAACAAAGCCCAAGCGAAAACAAUCGAAAUAUAUCAAAAAUCCCGAAAUUAGCGAAACCCGAGCCCCGGGCCCACUUCUCAAAAGUCAGAAAUUUUCACAUCAUUAGAUUCCUUAUCACCCCACGAGUUCAUACAUAUCAAAAGUUCUCAAAUCCGACCUCAAAUGGUCCUUCAAAUCCCAAUUUAAAAGUUCAAAAUCUCAAGCCCUAGUUCUUCCAUAUUUAGCUUAAGUUCCAUGAAUUUCUAGGUUGAUUUCACAAUAGAAUCACAUUUUAGGUUCAAAAAUCUUACCUCCAAUCAAUUCUCCUCGAAUCCUUCUUUAAUCACCCUCAAAAAGCUCUCAAAAUGCUCAACUAUGGAGGAAAAAUGACUCAAAAUCGCGGAUGAAAUAACUUAUAAACUUUCUGCCCAGUUCUGAUAUUCCUUCUUCGCGAACACGGUCAACCUCUUGCGUUCGCGAAGCACAACUUUACGUUGACCAACUUUUCCUCUUCGCAAACGCAACUCACCCAUUGCGAACGCGAUGCUUCUUCCUCCUAUACCUUCGUGAACAUGAACCCCUUACGCGAACGCGAUGAAUAAAAAGACCUUGAUCUCAAAUUACACUACGCGAUCGUGAGUACACUCUCACGAUCGCGAUGCCCAACCUGCCAAACCUCCGCGAACGCGAAGAUCCACUUGCGAACGCGAAGGCUUAACCCUGUCCUUCCACAAUUCCUUCUUCGCGAACGCGAGGACCCCCUUGCGAAUGCGAAGAGAUAAAUCUCUGCAACACUGAACCUGCAUUUCUACAAUUUCCCAAACUCCAAAAUGGUCUGAUUGACCACCUGAAACUCACCCGAGGCCCCCGGGACCUCAACCAAAGGCACCAACACAUCCUAAAACCUCAUGCAAACUUGUUCCAAUCAUCAAAACACCUCAAACAACACCAAAUCCAUCAAUUCACACUGAAUUUAAGCCUAAGUUUUCUAAAAACUUCUAAAAUACGCUCUAGAUCAAAACCCCAACCAAACCACGUCCGAAUGACCUGAAAUUUUGUACACAUAUCACAAAUGACAUAACGAAGCUACAACAACUCUUGGAAUACCAUUCUAACCCUCGGAUCAAAAUCUCGCCUAUCAACCGGAAAUCGCCAAAAUACUAACUUCGCCAAUUCAAGCCUAAUUCUACACCGGACCUCCAAAACUAAUUCCGAUCACACUCCUAAGUUAUGAAUCACCUCCUGAAGCUAACCGAACCAUCAGAACUCACAUCCGAGCCCUCUAACAUAUAAGUCAAUACCCGGUUGACUUUUCCAACUUAAACCCUCUUAAAAGAAGCUAAGUGUCUCAUUUCUUACCAAAUCCACUCUGAACGCAAACUACCCAACUCGCUCACAUAAAACACGGAUAACGAAGCAUAAUGAAGCAGAAAUAGGGGAAACAUAGCGUUAAUUCAUGAGACGACUGGUCGGGUCGUCACAAUUCAAUUAAGACUAACCUUUGUAUAGUUAAAUCACUUGGCUUUAAUUAUAAAUCGAAGUUUCCUUUAUACUUUAUUUAGAAUCCAAUUCUUUCUGAACACCAAAAAGAUUUUUGUAUUAAUUUAAUUUGCAUAUCCUAUUGUAUAUAUUUUGCUACAAAUGGAGUAGUCUUGCUUUAAAUAUUUACUCACUAUAUGUGUAACGACCCGCGCAGUUGUUUUUAGUAUUUUCAGUCAAUUCGGUGCUUUAAGGUUAUGAGUAGGUUCACAUGGUGUAUUAUGACUUGCAUGUAUUGUCAAUUUUGGUCUUCGAGUUAUUCAAAAUUGAUUUGGAAGAAUGAUUCUUAAAUAGGAAGCUCUAAUUUGGAAGAGUUGAGCAAGUUUGACUCUUUUAUAUUUGACCACGAAUCAGAGUUUUGAUGGUUCCAUUAGGUCCGGAUGGUGAUUUGGACUUGGGCUUAUGCCCAAAUUUGCAUUUUGAUGUUUCUAUAAGGUUUCGACACUAUUUGGCAAAAGUUGGCAAUUUGAAGGUCUGAAAAGUUCAUAGGUUUGACCGGGAGUUACUUCGAUGUUAUCAGGUUUGAAUUAUUGUUCCGAGAGUUGUAAUAGUUUUGAUAUGUCAUUUGGAACUUGCUACAAAAUUUGGAUUCAUUCCAGAUUGGUUAGGCUUGAAUCAGAUGCUUAGUUCGAAGUUUGAAUUUUAUGAACUUAAGAGAUUUAUAUUGAUCGAUGGUUCGUGGUUUUGACAUUGUUAUGUAGGAUUUAAGGCUUCGAGAAGGUCCGUAUUAUGUUUUGGGACUUAUUGGUAUGUUCGGACGGGUCCGUCCGAGGGGCUCGGGUGAGUUUUGGAUAGGUUUGGGUUGUGUUGCACUCAUUUUGAUAUUUAGACGUCGUUUCUUCAAGCAUAAGAGGUACACAUUAAGCAAAUGAGCUCUAAAUUAUAUUUAUAUUGACGUAUUAGAUCUGUAUUGUAAUUAUUGAAGUCAUAGCAAAAAUAAUCAUCGAAAUUCAACAUCGUAUGAGGGAGUUAUGCUCAUUUUAGUGUCGGAGAAGAAAGCUGGUGCUGGUGCUUCGCAGAUGCGACGUUGGGUCCGCAUCUGUGACCCCACAGGUGUGUAAAAUGGUCUGCAAAAGCGAAAAUGACAGCUGGAAAACUGCAGGCGCAGAUUUUUGGGUGCAAAAGCAGAAAUCUUUGUGUAUAAAAAAAUCAUAUUGCGUUCUAUUAGUAUUUUGAGUAUGUCUUGAGUUCUAGAGCUCUGAUUGAGGUGAUUUUUACGGAUUUAUUCUCGUAUUUACAUGGGGCUCAGUAUAUUACUUGUAAUUUUAUAUUUUAACAUGAUUACAAUAGUUAAUUUGUGAAUAAAUUCAUGUUUUGAUUGAAAAAUUUGCGGUUUUUAUCAAAAACUUUUCUAUAGAGAAUAAUUGAAUUUUAAACAUCCAUUCGGCGUCGGAAUUAAAUGAAAUUAGUAUGGUUGGACUCGUAUUCGAAUGGGUUAUCACAAUUUUUAAGUUUUGUUGGGUUCCAAGUGCUGGCUCGGGUUGACCUUUUGGUUCACUUUGAGUUUUUGAAUAAAGAUUCGACCCUUUAUUGCUUGGGUUUAUUUCCUAAGGCAUUAUUUGAUGUUUUUAAGUUGCUUUUGUCUAGUUUCAAGCCGUUCGGAGGUUUAUUUGCGGGAUGGUAUUUCUAGAGUAUUGUUUGGCUUGCUCUUAUUUGAUUUGGCUUGUUCGAGGUAAGUAACAUAUCUAAACUUGGAUUUUAGGUUAAAUAUCCUUGGGAACUAUGAUAUUUAAGAUGGGUUAGGGGUGACGCACAUGCUAGGUGACAGGUGUGGGAGAAUGCACCGAGGUAUUCAUGAUCGAGUUAGUUUUUAGGUUAUUAUAUGCCUUGUUUUCCUAUCAUACUUCUUUGCUAUCAUGUUUUCUCCAUUUAUAUUACUAUGUGGGAUAUUAUUCAUGCUAGAAAUCAUGCCUAGAGUGCCUGCUCAAUUGUUUGAGAAAUGAUAGGGUUGUUUUUGCCAUGUUGAGCUAUUUGCCUUAGCCAUAGUCACAUUGUACAGUCAUGAUAGUCACAUCCACAUGUUAUAUCUCUAUCUCUGUGCUCUUUUGAUAUCAUGUCGCACAUGUUAUUGGUAUCCUAGUAUGUGACACGAGUUUGAACUGUAUUGAGGCAUAUUGUGAUAUUUCAUGUUAUAUUGUUGAAUUGUGUUUCUGUGAUGAUGUCUGCAUAUUGAGACUUGAGCAGAUUGAUGACUGAUGUGGGCCAUAUAAUCAUAUUGAUAUGGAUAUAUGGAUUGGGUAUCACACUGCAAUGGUUAUAUUGAUAUUGAGGUGACGCAUAUGUUAGGCCCCACAUUGGGCUAAGUUGCACUGAUUUGAUGUCGCGCGUGCACCAGGCCCCACUAUUUGGGCUUUGUGAUUAUGAUUAGCGCUUGGGUAGGAUCCUCCCCUUCGGAGCUUGACAUGCCAGCAGUAGGUCAUGCAUAAUGUUAUAUACACUUGCUCGAUGAUGGCCAGUUAUGUCAAGCACACAUACAAUGCUGAGUGUGAUUAUUUGAUGGAUCCACAUUGAUACUAUUGAUUUGAUAUAUAUUUAUUGUGUGUGAUCAAGUGAUCCAUUUGAGCCAGGCACUUGAAGUGUGCUAAGAUUAUGUGAACUUAAUGAUUUCACUGUGAGACUGAUUACUUUGACAAGUAUAUUUGACAUAUAGGAUAGAGAUGUACCUUACUCAUGCUAGGCAGUGGUAUGACAUUUGAUUACUUGACAUGAAUAUUUGACAUGUAGGCAUAGAGAUGUACCUUCCUCAUGCUAGGCAUUGAUAUGACAUUUGAUAACUUGACAUGCAUAUUUGACAUGAAGACAUAGAGAUGCAUUUUCCUCAUGCUAACUAGUAAAUGUAAAGUCUUAUCUGAUACUGUAAUUGGGGAAAAACAUAGUUCUUUUGAUAAAACUCAUGUUUAAUUUAUUUCGGUGGUAAGCUUUACACUUGGACUGUUAUACUUGAAAAACAUGUCUACUUUCCCCUAUCUAUGAACGAGCUGAGCAUUACAUUUCUUGAUUUGUAUUCCUUUAUUGUCUUCACUAUACUGUUAUGAAUUGUUAUUGUCUAUUGAUGAUGGACACUGACCUUCUUCCGAGCUCGUCACUACUUUCAACCUGAGGUUAAGUUUGUUACUUAUUGAGUACAUGGGGUUGGUUGUAAUCAAACUACACUUCUGCAACUUGCGCGCAGAUCUUGGAGUUGAUGUUGCUGUGUUUGGCAGGAGCUGGCAUAGAAGAUGUACCUGCACUCCGGUGAUAGCUGCAACUUGUCCUUGGUAGCUUUAGAUUUUUGAAAUUUUAUUUAUGUAUAUUUUGAAUAGAUGGUGUAUUUAUUUUGUACCAACUUUGUAAAUUCCAUGUCUUAGAAGCUCAUGAAUUAUACUACCAAUGCUUGGGAGUUUGAAUAGAAACCCAAUUUUGUUACUCUUUUGCUCAUAUUAUUAUCAUAUGAGUUGUGUUGAAUGUUACUUGGCUUAUCUAGCGGGUUGGGUUAGGUGUCAUCAUGACUAGUUGGAUUUUAGAUCGUGACAAGUUGGUAUCAUAGCUCUAUGUUCAUAGGUUCUACGAGUUAUGAGAAAAUGUCUAGUAGAGUCUUGCGGAUUUGUAUGAUAACAUCCAUACCUAUCUUCGAGAGGCUACAUGGCAUGUAGAAAAAUUUCCCAUCUAUCUUUCUUUAUCGCCCGGCAUUGAUUCAGCUUGAAGCGUAUUUCUUUGAACUCCUUCUACUAACACGUACAUGAUGUUGAGCACUCAAUAUCAGUUGUGCACUAAUAGCCUGUGAUGUCGUAGGUGAGGUACAAGAUGUGUUAUUUGUGUUGUGGUGUUAGGACAGUCUGGAGUACUUGAGUCCAAGUUCAGACCGUAGCUUGGACUCAAUGGUUCCAAUUGUGUGAGUAUGUGCUUUUGGACUAAUAUGCCCGGUAGUAUCCCUAAGGGUGGGAUUGAUGGCUUGGUGAGUGGUUGGAUAGCUAUAUGAUGAGCAUGGUGUAACUGCAAGAUGUGUUCAGAUGGCUUCGAUACAAUGAGAAGAGUUUUCUUGAGAUGUAAGUAGAACUAUUAGGUGCUUGAUUUCUGUCUUGAUAUGUUGUACAGUCUCAAGUUAUGAGUGUGUAGAGGGAUCUAUCAUGUUGUUCAUGUGUGGGAUAAAUUAGACUCUUAUGUCUUGUUGGCGAGUUUAGACUCGAGAAUUAAGUGAUCGCAUAGUGAUUGUGACCAUGAUGGGGUCAUAGAAGGGUGCCAGUUCGGGCUAAGUAGGUGGGUUAUCACCUGCGGAAUGUUCUGAGGUUGUGUGAUCCCUAUGAUGUAUCUGUGGAGAGUUUUUCUUCUACCUAUGAGUUAUAUGUGUUGCAAUUGAUUUUGGAUCACUUGAGUAGGUUGGCUCGAAUAUCACAUGAAUGAAUGUGCAUUUAGCAGAAAAUUUGAGGUAUUUUAUGAUUUGUACUACAUGAGUUCAUGAAAGGGUUUUGUUGAAUUGCAGUGCAGGAUUAUGUAGUAAUAUAGUAAGGGUAUUGUGGGUUAUUAGAUGUUGUGAUCUAUGGCUUUGAUCCAAGUGAGGAAGGACACUAUUGACGAUAAGAUUGCAUAGUCAUGUGUUACGUUAGUUUUAGUCUGAGGCAUACAUGUAGAUCGGUUAUGACUUCAAGAGGUUGAUUUCGAGAAUGACUCGAGUAAGGAAGUUUCUUUGCAUAAUGUAUUACACUUUAUAGAUACAAAAAUCUUGGAAUAAUUUGGGUAUUUUAUUCUUGAUGAAUGUAAUGUGCUAAGAAAAGGGAGUCACUCGGUUGCGUUAAAGUGUGGUUACUUCUUUAGGGUUUUUGGGUUACUAAUGGAGCACGGGUCUUUGGCUCGUUUGGGUGGUGCAUUUGAGAUUAGAAUAGGGUGGAUGACUCUCGAUAAAGUUCUAAUGGGUUAAAGAUUCAUAUGUUUCAUUUGAGGAAUUUCUGGAUGUGUAAAUUGCAAAGAUUUGAGAUUUACAUUGGAUAGUACCGAGACCCACGAUAUUUUUGUAUCAUUAUAGAUUCUACAUUUCAGUAUCAUAGAGGUUAAAAAAAUAGUGUCAGAUUCACAUAAGGUUUCUUCAGAGUGGGUAUCUCGGAUGCCAUAUUUUUGGGUAGCUAAGAGGGUAUACAGUGGCUUAUGGGCUUUAGGAUGAUGAGGUUUCGUGCUAUGAUCUCUUGUAGUGAGCUUUGGGUUAAGGAUCAUAGUGAACUAGCAAUAAAAAGUGUUUACUUGAAGGCAAUUCGGAAGGAACUCAGAGAAAUAGGACAUCUUGGUGGUAUAUUAAAUCAACAUGGUAACGGAUAUGAUAUGUUCUUUUGGUUCUUAUGAUGUGGUGAGAUCUUUUUGCGGCAAUACUCUUGGGUUUGGCGACUGAUGGAAUAUGUAUUUUGCUGGUGCUUUUGAGACAAUAAUGGGAUUCUUGUGUUUUCAUAUGAUGGCAUGAUAAAUGAGGUGCAAUGUAUGGGAUUGAGAUUUACAUGUACAAGGUUGCGGUUCCAUUUCAAAGGGAAGGUCGUGAUUUUUCCACAACAUAGACGGUUUCAGAUGUUUAGAAAAUGUUGGUACUAUUUUGUAUCACCUGAGAUGAGUGUGCAUUUCAGAAAGGCGUAUUGUGUUUUACUUGCAGAUACUUGAUUGGAACUAUGGUAAUUGCCUAGUUGAUCGACUGUGAUGUUUAUAUUUUGUUAUGUAGCAUAGAAGAAUUAUGGAAAUAUUUAUCGUGAGAUAAUUUUACAUGAGAGAUGUGUCAGUCAUUUGGGUGGUCGAUUCGGGAUUAAAUAGAGAGAUUUUUGUAUUCUUGUGAUUUGGAGAAUGGUAGUCUCAAAGGUGGACUAUUCCUUGGUUGUAGACUGUGAAAAUAUGGCCAGUGUUAGAAAGCUGAUGGUAUGUGCUAUGGAUAUGUUUCAGUAUAUCUUUGGGAUGGUUGUCUACUCAUUUCGGGAGGACCGGGAUCGAUUUGGAGGACACUGGAAAACCUAUUGAGCAUGUGUAUUCAACAUUGGGUCGGAUUUAUUUGCUUAGCACAACUACUUUUGAAGGGUGUGUCAUUGGUUAUAGUUUAUCUUAUUCGCAUCUGAUUUGUUCCAUGAGUUACUCUUCUAUGCUACGACGGGUUGUUAGACUGUUGACUAUGUACACAUGAUACAAUUUUGUUUGGGCCUAGUAGUGGAUUCGAGCGAGAUGGAUUUGGGGUUGUUGAAUGGUUGAUUGCACCUUGGUUAUGGUUUUUUUUGUUUGUGGUAUAUUGUUCGAUAUGUUUCUCCAUGGUUAUGAUCAUGCACAUUGCGUAGUUGUUGUUGAUAUGCAUAUGGUUGUUGAUUAUGAGCAUCAUGGUUUGAGGUAUUUCAUAUGGACCGGUGUUUUGACUAGGUCACUCGUCGCUGUAGAGUUAUGUAGGGAUAUGAUCCUUUGUGUUUAUCUUGUAUGGUUUUGUUCUUCUUUGUGUGAUGGUUUAAUAGCAGUGCGCUUGUGGUGGUAUUUGUUGAGCUUGCAAAAUGGUUCUCUCAUUUGAUUCUCUUUCUAUUUGUAGGUACAUUUAGGUUGUUGCAUGUUUGGUGCACGGAUUGCACUGUAUAUAGCUAUAAAUGGUAUUGGUGUGGCAUGUCGGUUGAACAACUUGUACUAGAUGAGAUGAGGUUAUUGUACCUAGAAUGAGCGCUAUUGGAUUUGAUUAAGUUAUGUUUGGAAGAAUAACUUCUCUAGUCAGCUUAGAAUUUGGAAAUGAUUCUUAAUGGGUGAGAAAGCUCCACCACUUGCUGAUAUGAUGAGUGGUUAUGACUUUAUGCGUGUUUCUUUCAUUAUUGGCUAUGUAUGAAGGUAUAUAACAAGGUAACAAGGUUUUGUUUGAUAUGAGGUUUGAUACCGGUACUAGGUUUGUUAUUGAGCAGUUAUUCUGGUCGGAAGUUAUUGUUGCGAGAAUCUGGGUUAUAUGGUAUAUCAUGUGAUUACAUGUUGGGGUAUGGUUAUGGCUUGAUUAUGCUUAUUCAGACUUAUAUAGUAUAAAGAUGCGAGAAUUAGGUCUUAUAAUGAAUUUCAGAUGUUGCGGUUGGGGUUGGGGUUUUAAGUUUUAUCGACUAAGAUUGAAGUAAGGAUCUUCAGUUAGGUUCUGUUGUCAGGCUUAUAAGGAUUGGGGUAACGUAGAAUCACCCAUGGGUAUUUGUAUGGUGAGGUUAUACAGUGAUUCGAUGGCUUUGGAACGGCUUUUGGCAUGUUUGAGGAUGAACAUACGUUUAAGUGGGGGAGAAUGUAAUGACCCGCCUGAUCAUUUUGAGAACUUGCACUCAGUUCAGUGGUUUGAGGUUAUUAUGAGUAGCUUCAUAUGGUGUAUUAUGAAUUGCGUGUAUCAUUGGUUUUGGUCUUCGAGUUUUUCGAAAUUGAUUUGGAAGAAUGAUUCUUAAAUAGGAAGCUUUAAGUUGGAAGAGUUGACUACGAGCACCUAAUUUUUACUCUACAUGAAAAUAACUCCUAAAAAUACACCAAAAAUGAUUUUUAAAGGANNNNNNNNNNNNNNNNNNNNNNNNNNNNNNNNNNNNNNNNNNNNNNNNNNNNNNNNNNNNNNNNNNNNNNNNNNNNNNNNNNNNNNNNNNNNNNNNNNNNNNNNNNNNNNNNNNNNNNNNNNNNNNNNNNNNNNNNNNNNNNNNNNNNNNNNNNNNNNNNNNNNNNNNNNNNNNNNNNNNNNNNNNNNNNNNNNNNNNNNNNNNNNNNNNNNNNNNNNNNNNNNNNNNNNNNNNNNNNNNNNNNNNNNNNNNNNNNNNNNNNNNNNNNNNNNNNNNNNNNNNNNNNNNNNNNNNNNNNNNNNNNNNNNNNNNNNNNNNNNNNNNNNNNNNNNNNNNNNNNNNNNNNNNNNNNNNNNNNNNNNNNNNNNNNNNNNNNNNNNNNNNNNNNNNNNNNNNNNNNNNNNNNNNNNNNNNNNNNNNNNNNNNNNNNNNNNNNNNNNNNNNNNNNNNNNNNNNNNNNNNNNNNNNNNNNNNNNNNNNNNNNNNNNNNNNNNNNNGCCCAAAACAUUGAGCCCAUACUCAUUCCCCAUUUGACUUAACCUAAUUCCUACCCCUAUAAAAUAACACUUAACUUCUAAAAUCAAAGGAUUCCAAAAAC
rnacentral:lncRNA from 1 species